UGGCCCCCGGGUCUAUUCUCAUCAUAUCAAUCUAUAUCACUUUAUUUACUUGCUUUGUUUUUACUUUGCCUUUUACUUUUUACUUUGCAUCUAUCUAUCAAAAAUACCAAAAAUAUUAUCUCUAUCAGAUCUCACUCUCGUAAGUGACAGUGAAGGGAUUGACAACCCCUAAGCGCUGGUUGCGAGUUGCUAUCGUUUUGUGUAGGUACGAGGGACUUGUGCGUGGUCUCCUACUGGAUUGAUACCUUGGUUCUCAAAAACUGAGGGAAAUACUUACGCUACUUUGCUGCAUCAUCCUCUCCUCUUCGGGGAAAUCCAACGCAGUGCUCAAGAGGUAGCAAGAAGAAUUUCUGGCGCCGUUGCCGGGGAGGCUCACGCAAGCAAGUCAACCAUACCAAGUACCCAUCGCAAUCCCUAUCUCUCUCAUUACAUUAUUUGCCAUUUGCCUCUUGUUUUCCUCUCCCCCACUUCACCCUUGCCGUUUUAUUUGCCCUCUCUUUCCCAAUCUCCUCCUCUCUUUCCCGUUUGCCUUUUCCCUUUGCCUUUUUGCUUGCUCGUGCGUUAGUUGCUUGUCUUUAUGUCCAAUUCCUUAUCCGCUCCUAUGUCUCCCGUGUUUGAAGUUCUUUACUUCAAUUAACGGCAAGGAGAAAACUUAAAAGAUGCUUGGUAUAGGAUGAUGGAAUCUUAUCGUAAGUGCACCCUAGAGGUGAACUUUAGAAUUCUUCUUUGCAAUUUUUAUGUUGGGUUAAACUUGACACAUAGACAACUCUUGGAUUGCAUUGCCAAGGGAAAUUUCAUUGAGAUCGAUCCCAGUAUUGCGCAUGAAAUUAUAGAGGGAAUAGUGGGAACACUACCCCAAAAGGGAGGAUCUCAUCCUACCUAGGAAGAAACCCAAGUGUUUGAGAAGAUUUGUGAAGUAACAAAAAAUUUGCAAAAAUCUCUUGAGCCUCUUAAAAAUGUUAGCGGAAAUCUUCAUCGCAUGAAUAUGUUGAUUACUCUUUGUAAUAAGCGGUUGGAUUCUUUAGAUCUAAAAAUUUCCUAAUAUGAAGGGAAGCGGAAAGAACCUCCCGGAUUCGAGCAUGACUCCGCCAAAAAAAUGAAAACCAAAGAUGGCAAUACCUAGAUCUAUCCUUGCUUUUAUGCCUAGCUAGGGGCGUUAAACGAUAGCGCUUGUUGGGAGGCAACCCAAUUUUAUUUUGUGUUUUUUAUUUUUGCUUCUGUUUAGGAAUAAAUAAUCCAUCUACCUUCUAUUUGGAUGUGGUUUUAUAUUUUAAUUAGUAUUUCUGCCAAGUAGAAUCUAUAGGAUAACCUACGUUGAUAGUUGAUUUGAUUCUGCUGAAAAACAGAAACUUUGCGCGAACGAAUUUAGUUAUGAUAAAUCACAAGAACGUGAUUUUGUGUUGAUUAUUUUUCCUUAUGAUCAAUAAACAAACUGUACAGUACUUCCUAUUUUGGUAGAAUUUUUAGAUUUCCAGAAGUUUGCGUUAGUUACAGAUUGCUACAGACUGUUCUGUUUUUGACAGAUUCUGUUUUUCGUGUGUUGUUUGCUUAUUUUGAUGAAUCUAUGGCUAGUAAAUUAGUUUAUAAACCAUAGAGAAGUUGUAAUAUAGUAGGUUUAACACCAAUAUAAAUAAAGAAUGAGUUCAUUACAGUACCUUGAAGUUGUCUUUUGUUUUCUUUCUCUAACGGAGCUCGCGAGAUUUCUGUUGAGUUUUGUGUUGUGAAGUUUUCAAGUUUGGGUGAAUUCUUUUGAUGGAUUAUGGAACAAGGAGUGGCAAGAGCCUAAGCUUGGGGAUGCCCAUGGCACCCCCAAGAUAAUCCAAGGACACCAAAAAGUAAAAGCUUGGGGAUGCCCCAGAAGGCAUCCCCUCUUUCGUCCACUUCCAUCGGUAAUUUACUUGGAGCUAUAUUUUUAUUCACCAACAUGAUAUGUGUUUUGCUUGGAGCGUCUUGUAUUAUUUGUGUCUUUGCUUGUUAGUCUACCACAAUCAUCCUUGAUGUACACAUCUUUUGAGAGAUCCAUACAUGAAUUGGAAUUUGUUAGAAUACUCUAUGUGCUUCACUUAUAUCUUUUGAGCUUGAUAGUUUUUGCUCAUAGUGCUUCACUUAUAUCUUUUGAGCAUGAUAAUUUUUGCUCUAGUACUUCACUUAGAUAUUUUAGAGCACGGUGGUGGAUUUGUUUUAAAGAAACUAUUGAUCUCUCAUGCUUCACUUAGAUUAUUUUGAGAGUCUUUAAUAGCAUGGUAAUUUGCUUAAUGUUAAUAUACUUGGUGUUCAAGAUAUGUGAAACUUUCUUUUGAGUGAAUUGAAUACUAAGAUAAGUUUGUUGCUUGAUAAUUGUUUUGAGAUAUGGAGGUGAUAAUAUCAAAGUCGUGCUAGUUGGGUGAUUAUGAAUUUGAGAAAUACUUGUGUUAAAGUAUGCAAGUCCCGUAGCAUGCAUGUAUGGUUAAAGUUGUGUAACAAAUUUGAAACAUGAAGUGUACCUGGCUUGUGCAUCCUUAUGAGUGGCGGUCGGGGACGAGCGAUGGUCUUUUCCUACCAAUCUAUCCCCCUAGGAGCAUGCGCAUAAUACUUGAAUUUUUGAUGACUUCUAAAUCUUUGCAAUAAGUAUAUGAGUUCUUUUAACUAAUGUUGAGUCCAUGGAUUAUACGCACUCUCCCCUUUCCACCUUUGCUAGCCUCUUCGGUACCGUGCAUUGCCCUUUCUCACCUUGAGAGUUGGUGCAAACUUCGCCGGUGCAUCCAAAUCCCGUGAUACGAUACGGACUAUCACACAUAAACCUCCUCAUAUCUUCCUCAAAACAGCCACCAUACCUACCAAUCAUGGCAUUUCCAUAGCCAUUCUGAGAUAUAUUGCCAUGCAACUUCCACCAUCAUCAUCAUGGCAUACAUUACUUUUGGCAUAUUGCCAUUGCAUGAUCAUGUAGUUGACAUCGUAUUUGUGGCAAAGCCACCAUGCAUUAUUUUCCAUACAUGUCACUCUUGAUUCAUUGCACCAACCCGGUACACCGCCGGAGGCAUUCAUAUAGAGUCAUAUCUUGUUAUAAGUUUCGAGUUGUAAUCCUUGUAUUGUAAUCAAUAGAAGUGUGAUGAUCAUCAUUAUUAGAGCAUUGCCCAAAUAAAAAAAGGAAAGGACAAAAUAAAAAAAGGCCCAAAAAGGGGCAAUGCUACUAUCUCUUUUUCCACACUUGUGCUUCAAAGUAGAACCUUGUUCUUCAUGUAGUGAGUCUCAUAUAUUGUGCUUCAAAGUAGCACCUUGUUCCUCAAGUAGUGAGUCUCAUAAGUUGUAUUUUUAUACUAGUGGGAAUUUUUCAUUAUAGAACUUGGCUUGUAUAUUCCUACGAUGGGCUUCCUCAAAAUGCCCUAGGUCUUCGUGAGCAAGCGAGUUGGAUGCACACCCACUAGUUUUCUUUUGUUGAGCAUUCAUAGCUCUAGUGCAUCCGUUGCAUGGCAAUCCCAACUCCUCAUGUUGACAUCAAUUGAUGGGCAUCUCCAUAGCCCGUUGAUUAGCCUCGUCAAUAUGAGACUUUCUCCUUUUUUGUCUUCUCCACACAAUCCCCAUCAUCAUAUUCUAUUCCACCCAUGGUGCUAUAUCCAUGGCUCAAGCUCAUGUAUUGCGUGAAGGUUGAAAAAGUUUGAGAUUAUUUAAAGUAUGAAACAAUUGCUUGGCUUGUCAUCGGGGGUAUAGAAGUUGGGAACAUCUUUUUGUGACGAAAAUGAAGCAUAGCCUAACUAUAUGAUUUUGUAGGGAUGAACUUUCUUUUGCCGUGUUAUUUUGAGAAGACAUGAUUGCUUUGAUUAGUAUGCUUGAAGUAUUAUUAUUUUUGUGUCAAUAUGAACUUUUGUCUUGAAUCUUUCGGAUCUGAAUAUUCAUAUCACAAUUAAGAAGAUUUACAUUGAAAUUAUGCCAAAGUAUCACUCCGCAUCAAAAAUUCUUUUCUUUUAUCACCGGUGGGCUUGGGUUGGUUACAAAAUAACUGGACCCACCAACCUCUUUGCCGUCCGCUAGCUGAUGGCAUAGUUUCUUUGCCGUCAGCCAGUGGACGGCAAAGAGUUGGUGUUUGCCAUCAGCCAUUUCUUUGUCGUCUGUUUCCUUGUGGCUGAUGGCAAAGACCUUCUUUGUCGUCCGCCAGCGGACGGCAAAGAGAUGGCAGACGGCAAAUAAGCUAAUUCCAGUAGAGGUGGCCUCCCGCACCGCCUCUUUGCUCUAUAAAUACCCCAAUAUUCCAGAAACCCUAGGGGAGUCGACAAAAAUCAAUUUCAGCCGCCGCAAGUUCCAGAAACACCAGAUCCAAUCUAGACACCAUCACGGAGGGAUUCAUCAUGUCCAUUGGUGCCUCUCCGAUGAUGCGUGAGUAGUUCUUUGUAGACCUACGGGUGCGUAGUUAGUAGCUGAUCUCUUGGAGAUCCGUGUGAUGUAAGUCUUUUUGCAGUGUGUUUGUUGGGAUCCGAUGAACUUUGAGUUUAUAUUAGAUCUAUGUUUUUAUCCAUGAGAGUUAUUUGAGUCUUCUUUGAUCUCUUAUAUGCAUGAUUGAUUAAAUCCUCAUAUUUCUUCUCCAAUAUUUUGGUUUUGUUCCGCCAACUUGAUCUAUUUAUCUUGCAAUGGGAAGAGGUGCUUUGUGAUGGGUUCAAUCUUAGGGUGCUUGAUCCCAGUGACAGAAUGGGAAACGACAUGUAUGUAUCGUUGCUAUUAAGGAUAACAAGAUGGGGUCUAUUUCUACAUAGAUAGAUCUUGUCUACAUCAUGUCAUCGUUCUUAUUGCAUUACUCCGUUUUUCCAUGAACUUAAUACACUAGAUGCAUGCUGGAUAGCGGUCAAUGUGUGGAGUAAUAGUAGUAGAUGCAGGAAGGAGUCAGUCUACUAAUCUUGGACGUGAUGCCUAUAUAAUGAUCAUUGCCUGGAUAUCAUCAUGAUUAUUUGAAGUUCUAUCAAUUGCCCAACAGUAAUUGUUUUCCCACCGUUUGCUAUUUUUCUCGAGAGAAGCCACUAGUUAAACCUACGGGCCCCGGGUCUCUUUUCAUCAUAUUUGCCUUUGCAAUCUAUUUUUCUUUACCUUUAUUAUCAGAUCUAUUAAACCAAAAAUACAAAAAUACCUUGCUGCACUUAUUUAUUUUGCGAUCUAUUUAUCCUAUCUAUGACAACUUUAUCAUGUCUUCUCACAAAUUUGAGGCAUCGUUACCCGAAAGGGAUUGACAACCCCUUCAACAAGCCUGGUUGCGAGUAUUUGUUAUUUGUGUGCAAGGGUUGUUUACGUUGUGUUGCUUGGUUCUCCUACUGGUUCGAUAACCAUGGUCUCAUCACUGAGGGAAAUACCUACCAUCAUUGUGCUGCAUGAUCCCUUCCUCUUUGGGGAAAUACCGACGUAGUUCAAGGAGGCAUCUUGUACGUGCAACUUGUGUGGCUGCUGCACGGGCUCCAACAUGCUCUCUGAGAAAAAAGGUUCCACAACUUUGGCUAUAGGUGACGUGGCAGCAUCAUACACUAGCGAUGGUUCGCUAUAGGUUCAACAGUUCGUACUCCUGUUAACCUUGCACUAGGAUCUUCGCCUCUUCAGAAGGUCCAACAAUGCAGUACAGUAUGCUUCUGGCAAUCUAACACGGAAUGAACUAUUGCACGUCCACCGCGAGGGAGAGGGCGAGGGAGAGGGAGAGGGCACUAUAGUCAAAACCCUCUCCUCGUCCUGUGAGCCAUCGCGCAUGCGUGGGCAAGGGAGAGGGCGUAGGCGUACGUAGUAAGCAUGAUUCUCCUCGUCCCGUGAGCCAUCGCGUGUGGGCGAGGGAGAGGGCGUAGUAAGCAAGAUUCUCCUUGUUCUGCGAGUUGACUGGACACAUCAAAGUAGUACUAGUCCAUACAGUGUCCUUUCCAGUUAAUAUGGUUUAAUUUGAAACGAGAAAAACACACUGGCUGUCAACGUAUGUAACAAUACGCUCAUUACGGUCAUCAUAUAGAUUUGUGGUGAUUAUACGGUCACUAGAUCACCGUAGAGCACCGUAUUGCACCCUGCUGACCAGCCACAUAGUUGAAUUGGCACUUUGUUGACUCAUUAAACUCACACUUGGUUUCUGGGUCCCACCUGUUAGUUGACAGAGUAAAGAAAUCAGUUAAACAAAACUUUACGCACGCGCGACAGGAGUCCAACCCUUGCGCGCGAGCCACCCUGGCUGUGUAUGUGAGUGCAUGCACGUGUACUCCCUUAGUCCAUGAAAAAUUGUACAUCUAGCAUUAUAAAAUUAUCCAACAAAGAGUGUACAUCUACACUUCCAAUGCACUUAGCCUUUAAUAUAAUCGGUAUUGCUUGACUAAUGCACCAACUCGUGCUCUAGCUAUAGGUUGCAUGCCUAUCCUUAAUUACAGCAUGCAACAACCUUCAUUUAAUCUUCUUCUCUCAAUGGUCGCAUGCACACAUAAGUCUGCUACUUUUGGGCAUUAAUUAGGCUACUUCCAAUGCAGUGGUGCUUACAUGAGGUGCUAAGCAUAUUAAAAACUUUAGCAACUAAAGCCCCCAAUGCAUAGGUUCUUAACUUGUUGAUGCUAAGCAUCCUUCAUUUAAUGAUUUUGAAACUAAAUUUCUUCAUGCAUUGGUGGGAUUCUUUCAUUUAAGUGUUUUUCUAGGUUCUCGCGCUUGGCACUAUUUCUUCCCGGGGUCAUCACGCUCCUCUCUCUCCUCUUAAUUACCUUGCCACAUCACAUUUUUUACCUGCAUCGCAGCCUUAGCACAUGUACAGGGUGGAGCAUUGGGAGGGGCCUUAUGCCAUGAAUGAAAGUGCGUUAUAUCGACUAGAGGGGGGUGAAUAGGCUAUUUUCGCAAAUUCGUCACUAAGGAAUUUCUAAGUGAAGAAAUUCCUAAGCAACGACACACUAGCAGCGGAAUAACUACUCGGGUAUAAGCAUAAUAGAGCAACAACAUAGUCAUCAUGAUGAAAUGAAAACAAGCACAGAGUACAGAUAGCAUGAAAACAGGAUAAGCAGGCUGAAGACUAUGUGACUGAAGAAUUAGGAUUGAGGGAUUAGAAAAAGUCUUCAGUCAAAGUCUUCAAACAGUAAUGAUCAGGUCCAUCAACACAUGAAUCAGGAAAUGAAAGGGUUGAGGAAAUAGAACCAGUUGGCUUCGUGAAGAUAAUGAUUUGGUAGACCAGUUCCAACUGCUGUGAUAGCUGUACAUCUGGUUGGACUGGCUGAGUAUUAAAACUCAAGGACACACAGUCUCGGACACACAAUCCUCACCAUAUUCUCCUUAAGCUAAAGUCACACAAACCUCGCCCAACACUCGUGGUAAGUCUUCAGGUGACUUCCAAACCUUCACAGACUUGGUCACUCGGCGUUCCACAAUUACUCUUGGAUGCUCAGAGCAUGACGCUUAACCAUCUGGAGGAUGCAUAGUUGAUGUAGGGCAAAACCCUAGGUGGAAGAUCUUUCACGUUUGGAGGGAUCCCACGGGAGAAACACGAAGAACACGUAGAAGCACAAAGGGGAAAUCACGGGGAGGAUGAGAGAGAAUCACGAAACCGACAGAGAAUCAAUCACACGAGUGCUAGAUCACCGAGCACAAAGAGAUACAUAUGAUCCACAAUCAACAAAGGUAAGGAUACAAAGGACAGUUCAUCUCCUAACGGAGGUAUUGAUGGUCUUCCCUCGAGAGGGGUCUUGAAUCCGCUUGGGGGAUCUUCUCCGAAGAGGUCCUGAUCUCCGAGGAGAAGUAUCCAAGUGGAUGAGCAAAGGCUCUCACACAAACAUGAGCUAAUCCAAUGCUGCCCUAGCUAGGAGGAGGAGGGGUCCUAUUUAUAGUCUUAGUGCAAAAGGGGGCAAAGUGGAGGGGUACAUGGGCUUUGGCCCGAAACUGUGCGCAGACAGCUACCGGACGUCCGCUGGGGGCCGGACGUCUGGUCGUUCAUGAGGGACCGGUCGUCCGGUGUCGCCGGGCGUCCGCUGGAAGCUCUCUGGAACGGGUGCACCGGACGUCCGGAAGUUUCCUACUUCCGCUAAUUUCCAUUCUGUUGACAGAUGCCGGUCGUCCGGUGGUUCCGGUCGUCCGCUCGCUGGAGUGCGGCCGGUCGUCCGGUCUGGGCCGGACGUCCGCUCGCUGGGGCUUGGCGGCUGGGGCUUCAGGCGCCGGACGUCCGGUCCCGACCGGUCGUCCGGUGGCUGGAGCUUUCUCCGAAUGACCUUCUUCUUGACCUUCGCGGUUGGUAGCUUCGUCUCCUUGUCCAAUGGAUGUAGAUGCACCAUGGCUUUCCUCCAGGUACCUGAUCACACACAAAGUGUCCAUAUGAGGUAGUAGCCAAGUCUCGUGAGUAGAGAGAGAAAGUUCGGAAAGGAGCGAGUUCACCUUAUCUUUGAUAGCCUUGGCUCUAGCUCUUGUCAUGGGUCCAAGUGGUGUUGAGGAAGAUGUAGACACGUCCAUGGGGAUGAGCGAGGGAUGCUCCGCAUCAUCUCCCCCCCCCCCUUGGGAAGGAUCCGACCUCGGAUCAAGAUCUUCAUCUCCAUGGUAUGGCGCAAGGUCCUUGAUGUUGAAGAUGUCGCUCACAUUGCACUUGCCUCGUGGUAGAUCUAUCUUGUAGGUGUUGUCGUUGUAGCGUGCUAGCACCUUGAAGGGUCCGUCGGCUCGAGGUAGAUGUUUGGACUUGCGUUCGUUGGGGAAGCGGUCCUUUCGAAGGUGUAUCCACACAAGAUCGCCAAUGUUGAAGAUCAUGGGUUGGUUGACGUUGAGCUUGGUCGCUAGUCGUUGUACUUGGCGCUCGAUGGUGUGCCUUGUAUCUUCAUGCAUCUUCUUGAUGUAGCUUGCCCGUGCACUCGCAUCCAUGUUGGUGCGCUCUUGUAGAGGGAGAGGUAGAAUGUCCAAUGGUGACAACGGGUUGAAGCCGUAGACGACCUCGAAGGGGGACUUGCCGGUAGUCGAAUGUCUUGCACGGUUGUAGGCGUACUUGGCGAUGGGUAGACAUGCCUCCCACUCCUUGAUGUUCCUCUUGAUCAACACGCGAAGUAGAGUGGAUAGUGUCCGGUUCGUCACCUCUGUUUGGCCGUCGGUUUGAGGAUGGUAUGCGGAUGAGAACAAGAGCUUGAUUCCGAGCUUGGCGCAUAGAGUCUUCCAAAAGUAGCUCAAGAACUUGACGUCGCGGUCGGAGACUAUUGUCUUUGGUACUCCAUGGAGACGCAAGAUUUCCCUACAAAAGAGAUUUGCAACAUGUGAAGCAUCAUCUAUCUUGUUGCAAGGAAUGAAAUGUGCCAUCUUAGAAAAUCGGUCCACAACAACAAACACGGAAUCUUUUCCAUUUUGAGUUCUAGGCAAACCAAGUACAAAAUCCAUGCUAAUGUCUUCCCAAGGUUGAUAAGGAAUAGGAAGUGGCAUGUAAAGACCAUGGGAUUGAGCUUUUGACUUAGCUUUGUGACAUGUAGAGCAUUGGGUGGUGAAGCGUGAGACGUCGCAGAACAUCUUGGGCCAAAAGUAGUUCUUGGAGAGCGUGGCAAAGGUCUUGUCGCGUCCAAAGUGUCCCAUGAGUCCACCUCCAUGAGCCUCUUGCAAAAGUAGCAAACAAAGAGAAGACUCGGGAAUGCAAAGUUUGUUAGCUCUCAUAAGAUAAUCAUCCUUUAUGUAAUAUCGUUCCCAAGACGUGUGUGUGAAACACUUAGCGUAAGGAGUAGCAAAAGAAAGACAUUCCCAUACAAGUCUUUUAUAUGCUCAAAACCAAUAACAUUCAACUCAAGUUUAGUCACAAGUGUGCAUAUACGUGAAAGUGCAUCGGCUACUACAUUUUCUUUACCCUUAAUGUACUUGAUCACAUAAGGAAAAGAUUCAAUGAAUUCACUCCAUUUGGCAUGACGCUUGUUCAAUUUAGUUUGACCUUUUAGGUACUUAAGCGUUUCAUGAUCGGUAUGGAUGACAAACUCAUGAGGUCUAAGAUAAUGUUCCGGAACAUGUAGCACAUGCACUAAAGCAUACAAUUCUUUGUCCUAGAUGGGAUAAUUAAGUUGAGCACCGGAGAGUUUUUCACUAAAAUAAGCAAUGGCUCGUUUUUCUUGCAUCAAAACUCCGCCAAUUCUGGUACCACUUGCAUCACAAUGAACCUCAAAAGUUUUAUCAAAAUUGGGCAAAGCAAGAAUCGGAGCAUGAGUAAGCAAAGACUUGAGCUCAUCAAAAGCAGUGGAUUGCUCAUAUCCCCAAACAAAAGGAGCAUUCUUCUUACUCAAAGCAUGUAAAGGAGCGGCAAUUGUGCUAAAGUUUUUGACAAAUCGGCGAUAAAAUCCUGCAAGGCCAAGGAAACUACGCACUUGUUGCAAAUUGGUUGGUUGGGGCCAAGUUUUAAUUGCCUCAAUUUUAGUUUCGUCAACAUGAACACCUUUUGAAGAGACAACAAAUCCCAAGAAAACCACUUUGUCAACACCAAACGUGCAUUUUUUCAAAUUUGCAUAAAGGCUUUCCUUGCGAAGGGUUUGCAAAACGGAUUUAACAUGAUUAAUAUGGUCUUUCAUUGUUUUGCUAAACACAAGAAUGUCAUCAAAGUAAACCACAACAAAUACUCCAAUGUAAGGUCUAAGCACAUGAUGCAUAAGACGCACAAAAGUACCGGGAGCUUCCGAUAGACCCAUAGGCAUGACUAACCACUCAUACAAGCCAAAUUUAGUUUUGAAAGCAGUUUUCCAUUCAUCACCUUCUUGAAUGCGAAUUUGAUAAUAGCCACUUUUAAGAUCAAUUUUUGAGAAAAAGUUGGCUCCACUAAGUUCAUCAAGUAUGUCAUCUAAUCGAGGAAUGGGAUGCCUAUAGCAGACAGUUAUAGCAUUUAUAGGUCUACAAUCGGAACACAAGCGGAAACUUCCAUCGGGCUUAGGCACAAGUAUGACGGGAACGGCACAAGGGCUUAAGCUUUCACGUACAUGACCGUUGUCGAUUAGUUGUUGUACUUGCUGUUGAAUCUCCUUGGUUUCUUCGGGAUUGACACGGUAUGGAGCUUUGUUUGGAAGUGGGGCUCCGGGGAUGAGGUCGAUUCGAUGCUCAAUGCCUCGUAGAGGAGGUAGACCCGGAGGUAACUCGCCGGGGAAAACAUCUUGAAAUUCCUGCAAAAGAGAUUGAAACACCAAAGGUAGUUCGUGAAUGGUGUUAGUUUUUGGUUCUCCAUCCUUGCACACAAGGACAAAGUGCAUCACACUCGAUGGGUUCUCACACACUUCUCUCAUCUCACUUUUGGUGGCAAAUAGGAUGAGGUUUUUCUUUCUAGGCGAAGAGGCGCUCAUAUUUGGCUUGUGGCUCUCACUCACUUUUGGGUGGGUAACUUUCUCAAUCUUCUUGCCAUGGUGGGUGCUUUGCUUGUCGGCUAUCACUUGACUAGGAGACAUAGGUCGUAGCACAUACUCCUUCCCUUUCAUCUUGAAGCUAUAGUGAUUGGUGCGCCCAUUGUGGAUGACACCACGGUAAAAUUGCCAUGGUCGACCAAGAAGGAGGUGGCAAACGGUCAUUGGGACCACAUCACAUUCCAAAGUGUCCUCAUAAGCACCUAUUUUGAAAGAGACUUGGACCGUAUGCUCGACUCGUAUAGUGCCGGAGUCACUUAGCCAUUGAACUUUGUAGGGGUGCGGGUGCUUCUUCUUGACCAAUUGAAGUUUUGAACAUAGUUCUUCACUUGCCAAGUUGUGGCAACUACCUCCAUCGAUGAUGACCUUGAUGGACCUUCCAUUGAUGCCGGCCUUAGUGUGGAAGAUGUGGUAUCGUUGGUCUUCUUCUUGUUGAUGUUGAAGUGUCAAGACUUUGGAGACAACGAGAGCGGGGCUCGAAUCCUCAUCACAAAAUACUUGAUCAUCUUCAUCUUCGUUCACGCGCCGGUGCAUGGCCACUUGCUCAAGGGCUUCCAUCUCCUCUUCACUCAUUGAGUCAUAUGUGCCGUCGUCGUUGAGGAUCAUGGUGUGCUUGUUCGUGCAUUCAUAGGACUUGUGGCCUCGCCGCCGCAAGUGAAACACUUGAAGGAGCUUGUUUUGACGGUCUCAUCGGUUGGAGUGGAUGAUGAAGCACGCGGCUUGAAGUUGAUUGUAGUAGGAGGGAGACGACUUGAACUUCUCCAAGCUUUCUUGUAACUUGACUUGUCAUCACUACUUGGAUAAGUCUUGGUUGAUGUAGAUGUUGGGGGAGUCGUUGAAGCUUGGAUGUUGGAGAAGCCGUAGGUUUUGGAUGAGUACUUGGCGUACUUUAAGUCAUCUUGCACUUGAUGUUCCGCCUUGGUUGCUUGAUGCACGAGCUCAAUGAGGUUGGAAUAUGGUUGGAAGUCGGCGAUCUUCUUGAUGGGAUGAUUGAGUCCGUUCAAGAAACAUGCCAUUGUUUGCUCAUCAUCUUACUUGACAUUGGCUCGAAUCAUGGCUAUCUCCAUUUCCUUGUAGUAUUCUUCAACACUCUUUGUUCCUUGCUUGAGGAGUUGUAGCUUCUUGAAGAGAUCGCGGUUGUAGUAGGUUGGUACAAAGCAUGCUCGCAUGACAUCCUUCAUUUGAGCCCAAGUGGUGAUAGGCGGUUCACCUCUUGCUUGGCGGCAUUCAAGCACUUGUUCCCACCAUAUGAGCACAUAGUCUUGGAACUCAAGUGAUGCCAUAGCGAUCUUCUUCUCUUCCUCAAAGUUGUGCAAACGAAAGAUUUUGUCGACCUUCAAUGCCCAUGAGAGGUAUUCUUCUGGAUCGUUGCUUCCAUUGAACUUGGGCAUUGUGAACUUGAGCUUGCCAUAGCGUUGCUCUUCAUUGUGUUGUUGGUGAUGGUGAUGAUGAUGUCCUUGGCGUGGAGGGUAGUCAUCCUCAUGUUGCUCUUGGCGCGGAGGAAGUCCAUGAUCAACUUGCUCUUGUUGAACUUGAGGUUGAAGAGGAGCUUGACGAGCUUGAGGAGUGGCUUGUGGAGCUUGACGUUGCACACGUGGUAGGUAGUUCCUCUCUUGGAUUUCUUCUCGAAGAGCUUCCUCUUGAUUGCGCCGUUUGCGAUUGCGGUUGGCGGUGGCUCGACUUGAUUCUUGAAGGGCACGUUGCACCUCAAGAGCUUGCACUUCACGUUGUUGUUGUUGAAGACGUUGAGCCUCGGCGUCUUGUUCUUCUUGGUGUAGACGCGCUCGUUCUUCUUCUUGGCACCGUAGUCGUUGUCGUUCUUGAGCUUGAGCAAAAGCCACUUGGUUUGAUUGAGGAUGAGGGACUUGCUCAUCGACUUGCUCUUGUGAAUGCUUGUCUUGUAGUGGGUUCCGAGAUGCAUGACGGUCUUGACGCGCGGCUCGUCGAAGAAUGGUCGAUGACGGUGUACUUGAGCCGGAGAAGGUGCCAUCAGAGUGUCAACUCGAGCGGCUCCGUCUUGAGGAGGAAGAAGUGGAAUGAUGUCGGUUCCUCAUCAAGGCGCGGAUCUCGUCCAUUCUUGCAUCAUUUUCUUGCUUGUGAGAGUCGAACUUGUGUCGAAGUAGUCUCUUGUACAUUGCUCGGAGAGUCGCAAGUCGGUGGCGAGGUUGUCGAUGUGGUCUCUCAUAGCUUGUUGCUCUUGGUGUAACGCCCUUUGAGCACCAAAGAGGUGACUCUUUGUGAUGAAUGAUGACAUGUCGUCGCCGUUCUCGAUGAGAGGUGGAUUUGUAGAAGAACUUGGCCUAUCCAUCAUACCAAGCAAAAUGUAAGUGGUAGAAGGAAAAGAACGUGUACCAAAUGUACCUUGACCGAUGUUGAAGAUGAAUCAAAUUCACUCAAAUGCGGACAAUGAAAUAGCACUGUUGGUACCAAUUCUUGUCGGUUCUCACACCUACACAAGUAAAAGCUUAUCGUGGAGCUUGGUUAGGAUGGUGGCACAAAAUUUGAUGCAAUAGUAAGGGAGCUUCAAUAAUGUUGGAGAAGAUUCACAAAUUUGCAAAUGCAACAAGUAGACCAAGCAAGUAUGGGUACACGGAAACACACACGCAAAUAGAUAAGUGGGAUUGUGCAAUCCAAAAUUGAGCCAAAAUGUGGAAACCACGAAAAUGCUCUUGUUGCACAAUUCUAGAGAGACGCUAGCACGAUUGCACAAUAGGCGGAUACGCAAACUUGUGCACAACCUACUAGGCAAAAAUGCAACUAUCUCUAUCCCAAUUAUGCUAUAUGUAUGGUAUUUCGGUGCAAUGAUCCAAGAUGAUCCAAUAUGACAAUCUUAAUGUAGUAUGAUGCUAUGGUUCUUGCUCAUAAGCUCUUUGCUUAUCUUUCCUCUUUUCUUAAAAGCUUGGGUGGCUCUUUUUCUUUUGAGCUCUUUUCUCAUGCAAAACUUCACGAACCAAGAUAGCAAUUGUGUAUGCUAUGACAACUUUGUGACACACAAGUGGAUCCCAAGAUAUGCACCACUAUGGUAUUGUAUGUAUGCUAUGGAGUAUGAUCCCUAAUGUGCACAAGUCACGUUGCCGGCAAUACUCAAUGGCUAGUCUCGAUGGGUAAGCUACGCAAAAUGAGGCAAUGUGGGUUAUCAAUGCAAAUGCAAGGUAUGACAAAGGUGUCGUCGAAGUUACCGUCCUUGGCGAUGAUGAGACCCUUGCGAAGAUGAUCCGUGGUGGUGAUGAAGUCGAACCGUACCUAGAUAGCCGAAACACAAUAGGACACGGGAGCCACAACUCAAAAUCUCAAUGUCCAAAAUGUGUCAAAAUCGUCAUAGGAGGUAUCAGGGAAGAUUUUGGUGUAUGUGGGUUUGGGAGAUGUGGUGGGAGGUGGGGUUGUGGUGGUGGCCGAACUGAAAAUUCAGUUUCCUCAGAGUUGAACGGACGUCCGGUUUUUGCGGUCGUCCGGUCAUCGGACGUCCGGUAACUGCCGGUCGUCCGGUGCCUGGGCGAUUUUCGGGCACGGGAAGAACUGCUCGGUUUCGGGGUGGAAGGGGAUGGUGAGGUCAAAAUUGAGUGGUUUGGUGGAUGGAAAAGGGUGGGGAGGGUGGGUUAAGAUAGAUCCACACGCAGCAACUCAAAUCCAUGGACCAAAUCCAACAAAAUCUCAACUCACGAACAAAUCACAAAAAAAUUUGGGGCUAUUUUUGGUGGGGAAUUUUCAGAAUUAGGACGAAAACAACAAAAUCAAGCUAGAAAACACGGGGUAGGGGCUCCAAAAACGUGAUCAACGUGGCUCAUGAUACCAAGAUGAUGUAGGGCAAAACCCUAGGUGGAAGAUCUUUCACGUUUGGAGGGAUCCCACGGGAGAAACAUGAAGAACACGCGGAAGCACAAAGGGGAAAUCACGGGGAGUACGAGAGAGAAUCACGAAACCGACAGAGAAUCAAUCACACGAGUGCUAGAUCACCGAACACAAAGAGAUACAUAUGAUCCACAAUCAACAAAGGUAAGGAUACAAAGGAUAGUUCAUCUCCUAACGGAGGUCUUGAUGGUCUUCCCUCGAGAGGGGUCUUGAAUCCGCUUGGGGGAUCUUCUUCGAAGAGGUCCUGAUCUCCGAGGAGAAGUAUCCAAGUGGAUGAGCAAAGGCUCUCACACAAACAUGAGCUAAUCCAAUGCUGCCCUAGCUAGGAGGAGGAGGGGUCCUAUUUAUAGUCUUAGUGCAAAAGGGGGCAAAGUGGAGGGGUACAUGGGCUUUGGCCCGAAACUGUGCGCAGACAAGUACCGGACGUCCGGCACGUCCGCUGGGGGCCGGACGUCCGGUCGUUCAUGACGGACCUGUCAUCCGGUGUCGCCGGACGUCCGCUGGAAGCUCUCUGGAAUGGGUGCACCAGACGUCCGGAAGUUUCCUACUUCCGCUAAUUUCCAUUCUGUUGAUAGAUGCCGGUCGUCCGGCGGUUCCGGUCGUCCGCUCGCUGGAGUGCGGCCGGUCGUCCGGUCUGGGCCGGACGUCCGCUCGCUGGGGCUUGGCGGCUGGGGCUUCAGGCGCCAGACGUCCGGUCCCAACCGGUCGUCCGGUGGCUGGAGCUUUCUCCGAUUGACCUUCUUCUUGACCUUCGCGGUUGGUAGCUUCGUCUCCUUGUGCAAUGGAUGUAGAUGCACCAUGGCUUUCCUCCAGGUACCUGAUCACACACAAAGUGUCCAUAUGAGGUAGUAGCCAAGUCUCGUGAGUAGAGAGAGGAAGUUCAGAAAGGAGCGAGUUCACCUUAUCUUCGAUAGCCUUGGCUCUAGCUCUUGUCAUGGGUCCAAGUGGUGUUGAGGAAGAUGUAGACACGUCCAUGGGGAUGAGCGAGGGAUGCUCCGCAUCAAUAGUCCUCAAAGGUAGCAAGCAUCGGUUCCACACAGGAACAAUCUCUUUAGUGAUGCUCAAUCACUUUGGGUUUGUAGGUGUUUGGAUUUGGGUUUUGGGUUUUCCUCACUUGAUGAUUUUCGCUCAAAGUCCUCGGAGGAUGGGAUGCUCUCAAUGACAAGUGUCAGUUUCUCUCGGAGCAGCCAACCAGCUAGUGGUUGUAGGGGGCGGCUAUUUAUAGCCUAGGGAACAGCCCGACAUGAUAAGACAUAAAUGCCCUUCAAUGAUAUGACUGUUAGAUGGGUAGAUAUUUUGGACGGUUGGCGCAUAGCACAGCAACGGUCAGAAAUAAAAAGGGCAGCCCGGUGCAUGUAGCUCCCGCUUGCGCAGGGUCCGGGGAAGGGUCCGACCACUUUGGGUCUAUAUUACGCAGCCUUUCCCUACAUUUUUGUAAGAGGCUGUUUCCAGGACUUGAACUCGUGACCUCUUGGUCACAAGGCAGCAGCUUUACCACUACGCCAAGGUAGCAACGAUCAGAAAUAUGAGGUUCAAAUUCCUCGAGGCUAUCAUGUUCCUCAUUGUGUAGGCAAUCUGCAUUGGCGAAUUCCUAACUUCUCAGUCAGAACAAAUUCCUCGGAGAACAGAAGAUCUUCGUCUCUGUCACUGAAGAAAUUGACUAAACUGAUAUGAGAUUUCCAAUGGCUUCACUCAAAAGGAUUGGGUAGUAGUAGGAUUUUGAGAUGAGCAUCACUUGGAAAUCAGUUUCCUUAGUAUUACCUCGACCCCCUUUAACAGUACUGUGUUUCCUAUGACUCAAGAAAGAGAAAAUGAAACUACGAACACAAAAGUCUUCACGCUUCAUAAUCCUCGCAUGAAUAUCCAAGUCUUCAAGUUCACACCAAUUUCUUCACUUCCAAAAUCUUCAGGAGAACCAAAGUCUUCAGCUGAAGACAGACAUUUUUAGGGGUCGACUUUCAUCAUAAAUAUCAAACUCCUCAUCGACUUAUAGAGCUUGUGUACACUCAGAAACAUAUUAGUCCCUUAACAUAUAAGUCUUCAAUACACCAAAAUCACUAAGGGGCACUAGAUGCACUUACACUCUCCCCCUUUUUGGUGAUUGAUGACAAAUAGGUUAAGUUUUCAAUGAGGAUAAACAUAUCAAUUGAAAGUGCUAAGUAUUGAGGAUUUUGAUUGCAAGAUAUAGAAGAACUCCCCCUGAAGAUGUGCGUAUUUGAGGAAUUUGCUUCGGAUAGAAAAUGCACAUUGUAGAGUAGUACCAUGGAGAUCUCCCCCUAUAUCUUGUAAUUCAUACACGCAUUUAACAUAUCGUAUGAAGAAUUUGAAAUGCAUGAUGAAAUAUGGUGUCUAGCAAAAUUCAGCAUGUGUGCAUUAAGUACUUGAGGAAUUAAGCAUGCAGAAAGUAGUCAAAAGUAUCAGACCACCAUAGGACUUAAGUUUACAACUCGGAGAAUCAAACACAUCAGAAGAACGAGAGUUGUAACUUAACAUAAAAACGCCCAUAUAAGAGACCCGCUUGAAGACUAACUCAAAUUUUUCCCCCUUUAUCAUCAAGUGACCAAAAGAGACAAAAAGUGAGGACUAACGCCCCUGAAGAAUAUCAUCAUGAUGUCGAUGGAGGAGCGCCAGCGUUGUUGGGGUCGUUCAUUGUUGUAGGGUCUGCCGUAGUGUUUUCCAAAUCUUUGACUUCGUCUGUCUCGCACGAUGAAGAAUAUGAGCUGACGACCAGCUGAGGAACUUUGACCUUCUUGAAUUUUUUCGAAGGUGGCUGAGACCAGUAAAAGUCCUAUUGGAAGUCCAUCUUCUUGAGUUCAUCAUCGAUAUAGAUAUGCGAAAGAAUAGCCCAGGUGCAGUCGAAGACUUGAUGCAGAUAAUGGUGAUUCUUCUUCACAGUGUUUUGAGUGACAUUCAUGUUUUGAAGAAUAGCACCAAACUAACGCUUGACCCACUUGUAAUUUCUAUCCACCUUCUGAUGAAGACUUAGAAGCAGUUCACGAUCAGUCAUCACACGCGGAGUAGUGGCCUGAGGAUUUUUCUUUGAAGCAUUUGCAGCAGUGUCAUGAGUGGUAGAGUCAUCAUUUGUUGAGUAGGAUGCUGCCUUUCGAAAUUGUCCAUCCAAAGGAUGAGUGCCUUCAUCAAUAAUUGCAGCCUUGCCCUUCUCAUCAGCUGAGGAAAUAGUCCGUUUGAGGACUUCAAGUGGUUGCAAAUAGCUGAGAUGAUUCUGAAAGUCAGCCUUGUAAUGGAUUGAAGUCCUUGAUCUGAUGAAUUUCAUGAUCCAGGGAGUGUAAGGCUUCAACUAAAAAGGUGACAAAGCAGCAUUGGCCAAAGUCCUCAUGAAGAAAUCAUGAUAGUUGAUUGGAAUACCAUGCAUGAUGUUGAAAAGCAAGUUCUUCAUGAUGCCAACAACUUCUUCUUUAGAGUUGUGGCCCUUGAUAGGACUGAGGGUUUUGACCAGAAUGCGAUAGAUGGUCGUUGGCACAUACAACAAAUCCUUGAUGAGGAAAUUUGUCCUUGGAGCUUGGCCAGCCUUCAAAGGCUUCAUCAACACUUGCAUCAGAUGAUUUUGCAAUUCGGGUUCUUCAUAUAAUUUCAGAGCACCUUCAAUGGGUGGACCGACUGGGACGGCAUGAAGCAAUUCAGAGGUUGGAGCUUUGUGAUGAGUAUUUUCAGUCAUCCAGUCCAGAACCCAUGAAUUCACAUCGUCAACAUUGCCUAUCAGAUGCAAAGUGGCAUAGAACUGAAGAAUAAGCUCUUCAUUCCAGUUGCAGAUGUCGAUGCAGAAGUUGAGGAGUCCUAUGUCAUGAAGUACACUGAGGACUGGAGUGAAACAUGGAAGAGACUCCGUAUCCACAUGAGGAAUUUGCAUAUGGUCAAACACUUUAUCCUUAUCAAGCAGUAGUUUUGAAUAAAAGUUCAUCUGAGAAGCAGUCCAGAAAUGCUUGCGGCGAAGGCGAGUAGAGUCAUAGGUAUUGAAAUCAAAGAAGAAAUGACACUCAGCAAAGAAGUCAACCGCCUUGAACUUUUACUUCUUGGACUGAGGAUUAUGUGGCUUCGGCUGAAGAUUUGUAGUGGAAGUCUUCAUAGUCGCUUGAAGCACAGCCUCUGGAGCCACAGGCUGAGGAAUCUUAGGAGCAGUUUCUUUUGCUGUUUUCUUCUCCAUUUCAUCAGCACUACUGGGUGAAACUUCUUUAGGUAUUGAAAGAAGUGAAGCUUGACCUUGAUCGGAACCCGUAUGAAUUUCUUCAGUUUGCACGGGGGACUGGGGAAUUUUUUGCACAGGAGUGGCCAAAGGAGAAUUGGGAUGAUGACUUUCCCAAUAAUCAUCAUUCAUCACUGGAGUCGUAGACCCGAUGUCCACAUCCUCUUCUUCAGCUUCAAUUUCUUUAACACCGGCCUCUUCAGCAGUGAACUGAGGCAGCGGCGAUGAUACCUGUAGUGGUGAAGGGAUAGCAUCCACAUCAAUUUCAUCAUCCAACUGCUCUGACGUAGCUGCAGAUGGAUUUUCUUCAUCACUGUCAUCAGCAUUCUUCACCAAAAGGAACAAUCUUCUUUGAUGGCAUGUCAGUUAGGGGAAUAGCAUCAAUUGGAUUCGUGUAAGAGCUCGUCAAAGUCUUCACUUUCUUCGAAGCUGAAGACCCUGAGGCGUCUGAUGCUUUCCUCUUUUUCACAGCCGCCCUUUCGGUAGUCUUGCUUUUCUUUGCUUCUGAUGCAGAAGGAAGAUGAGUGCUUUUCAUCUGCGAAGACUUUGCAGGGGGGAGCAGAUGAAAGAGGCACAGUUUCUUCAGGCACAACUAUUUUAGUUGCCCUAGCAGGUUCAGAUUCUUCAGGCGCAGCAGCAGAUUCUUUAGCUGGCCUGGGUUGAUCUUCAGGCGCAACAUUGGUGGUUGCCCUGGCAGUUUCAUCAGGAGCUGGAAGUGCAUCAUCAGCCCUGGCACUCUCAGUUUCUUCAGCAGCCUAAUUUUCAUCAGCGAUGCUGGCAUGUUCUUCAGUGGGCUGAGUAGAUGCUUCACCCUAAGGAAUUUUUGGUUGCACUUCAGCAGCAAUGUUGGGCUUGAGGCCUUUUGACAGCUUGACAAAUCUGACUUUGGCACCUAGCCAAUUAGCACGAUAUGCGUCAAGUUCAUCACUAAGAGCUUUGAUUUCAGACUAUAUAGUCACAAGUUCUUCAGGUCAUUUUUAAGACAUUUUUCUUCAGAUAAUGCUCCUUCCUGUACUGAUCUUUCUUCACUGAUCGGGCCUUCUCGAUUUUCCACUUUUCUUUGGCAAUGAAGGCAGUCAACAUGUGACUUUGUCCAGGUGUCAGGUUCAGAUCAAGUAGAGGUGUGUUGGGAUCUUUAUGCCAAAGAUCAAUGAAAUCAAGGAUCUUCUUUGGAUCCAGCAAAAGUGGCACAGCACUGCCUUUGGCACUAGCGGCCCAGUGUUGUCGGUCUCUGAUGAUUUUUUCAAGUUCUUCAUCAUCAGCUUCAUCUUCAGACGAUGGAACUUCAAAGGUGACCUACUUGUGAGGACUUGGCCUUGUGCCGCGUCCAGCGGUGACCUUUUUCUUCAGCAGCUGAGGCUGAGCUGAGGAACUUGCCGAAGCUCCUGAAGCAAUUGAAAAGCCUGUAGUCCUUUGGCACGUGCCAAGGUGCACAGGUGCUGAGGACAUUACAGGUGCAGCUGAGGGCUUUGCUUGAGCAGACGGCCCUGAGGGUUUUGAGGAGCUUGGCCAUGAGGGCAUUGCAGAAGAAGAUGGCUUCACAGCUGAUUUCUUCUUCAUAGCCUUCUUGGGCUGACUAGCAGAGGCUUCAGCGGCAGCAGCAGAGUCUUCAUUUUAUUUCUUCACUGCCUCUUUUGCUACCUUAGCCAAUUUUCUUUGGAGCUUGGCCCAUUCCUUUGGAAAUUCCUCACCUCUUCUGAUGUUAGAGGGAUCAGCUUCUUGGCCUGGAGCCAAUGGAGGCCUUCGGCAUGGAGGAUUUACUGCGAAUUUCUUCAUGUACUUAGGAGUGACAUAGCGGUAUUCCCUCCAUUCUCGUGCCCAUCUGUGUUCAAUCUGCUGAAUGCGCACCUUGCGCUGAUUUUUGUUCUCCUUGCGAUGAGUGGCCUCAUCGGGAGUACAAUAUUCAGCAUAGAUAUCUUCAGGGAUUUCAAAAGCAGUGUUAGUUUCAGGCCUUUUGCCUCCCUUAUGAGGACGCUUUUCUUCAGCCAUAUUCUUCAACUGAGGAUUCUGAACAAUGGAUGUCUCUGAAGAAGUAUGCAGUUUUUCUUCGAGGAAUGAUGCAAAUGAGUUAAGUUGAUGAGAACCUAGUGAUUCAACAGCAGACAUGUGUACCUGUGAACAGAGUAUAGGUGCGAAAAAUUUGGAGAGGUCAUAUGCGUUCUCAGAAUUUGUUUUUUAAAAAGAAUGAAGUUUGAGGAAUUUGACCAGGGGUGUCUUGAGGAAUUUUACUAAGAGUUCUUGUCUUUAGGUUCCAGAGUUGUAUAGAUUAGAAAUCCACACAACUGAGGAAUCUUGAAGAAAAACACAUCUUAGAGAAAUAGAUCAAGAACAGAAGCACAUUGGUGUUUAAGGAUAUGUACGAUGAAGAAUAAACACCUUUUGAAGAUUUUGUGUAAAACAUCAGAAUCAACAAGGGCAGUAAAAGCGACUUUUAUUUACCCUUCACGAAGAACACGAUGAACUGUGCGAUGAACUGUGGAAGUUCAUCCGUUCAGAUCUUCCACGCCCUAACUUGGCGGAGGAAAACAGCUACGAUGGCGGCGGAGGUCAAGAUUUCCACGGCCGGCGCGAGUACGACAACGACGAGGUCGAGGCAGCUAAGCUCUUCCUCACCGGCGAGGAUGAAGAUUAGCGGCGGCGCUAGGUCAGAGAGCUUGAGCGGAGGAGAUAGAGGUCGAGCGGAGUAAAUGAGCUGAGGUGAAGGGGAGGGGUAUUUAUAACCGAAGUGAAAAACCAUUCAUCCGAGGAAUUUGGAAGAACGUGCCCCUGACCCUUGCUAUCCUAGCGACAUGCGUCACCCACGUACUGAGAGGUGGAGAUCAUGUGACAUUGUGGGUGAGUAGUUUAAUCCUGUCAUGGGAUGCAAAAGGAUUUGAGCAGAAAAAGCCAAAAAAUUAGAUAUGAAAAAUUUAAUGUUUCGUUCGCAAAUUCUUCAGCUGUCAAGGACAUAGUGAAGAUUUUGAAUGGGUUUCAAAUAGAAUACACAUGAAGAGUUUGUGAACAGACUGGGUUGAGUUUAGCAUAGAGGGGGAACGGGUCAGAUCACAAUCACUUAGAUGAAAAAGCAACUUGAGGAAUUAGCUAUAAGUGAAUGUUGUAGAGGACAUGAAAGAAACUCAAAUAUAUAUAGCAAUGAAGAACAAAGUCAGAAAGAGUGAGGACAUUGCAAGUUGAAGAAAUUGCAAAAAACUCAAAUUGAAGAUUUUUCAACUUUGGUUGGUGGGCGUAACCCACCGUAUAAGAAUGAUGAUUUCAGACACCGCGUACAAUUGUCGUAGGGUUCUGAGAAUCAAAUUCUUCGUCAAUUUCUUCACACUUAGAGGGUUAGUCUUCAUUGAUUGAAGAAAAAUGUUACUUUGUGUAUUUCACAUCUAAGUCAUCAAAUUUUCAUAAGUGUUAGGAUGUGUGUCCUUUUCAGAGAACAUUCGAAGAUUCUAAGAUAUUUAGCUCACACCGCAACUUGCUAAAUCUCUUCUCAUCCAAGGGCUUUGUGAAGAUAUCUGCUAGCUGAGCUUCAGUAUUCGCAUGAUCGAUGGAGAUGUCGCCCUUCAACACAUGGUAACGAAGAAAAUGAUGAUGAAUCUGCAUGUGCUUUGUCUUCGAGUGCUAAACUGGGUUGUGAGCAAUCUUGAUAGCACUCUCAUUGUCGCGGUAGAGUGGCACAUUCUUCACAUUGAUGGCAUAGUCCUUGAGGGUUUGCUUCAUCCAUAGCAAUUGAGCACAGCAAGAUCCAGCAGCAAUGUACUCAAGGAUUCAAAUUCCUCGGGGCUAUCAUGUUCCUCACUGUGUAGGCAAUCCGCACUGGUGAAUUCCUAACUCCUCAGUUAGCAUAAAUUCCUCAGAGAACAGAAGAUCUUCGUCUCUAUCACUGAAGAAAUUGACUGAACUGACAUGAGAUUUCCAAUGGAUUCACCUGAAAGGAUUGGGUAGUAGUAAGAUUUUGAGAUGAGAAUCACUUGGAAAUCAGUUUCCUUAGUAUUACCUCGCUUCAUGAUCCUCGCAUGAAUAUCCAAGUCUUCAAGGUCACACCAAUUUCUUCACUUUCAAAAUCGUCAGGAGAACCAAAGUCUUCACCUGAAGACAUACAUUUUUAGGGGUCAACUUUCAUCAUAAAUAUCAAACUCCUCAUUGACUUAUAGAGCAUGUGUACACUCACAAACAUAUUAGUCCCUUAACCUAUAAUUCUUCAAUACCCCAAAAUCACUAAGGGGCACUAGAUGCACUUACAAUGAAAGUUAUGUUCCUCUUGGUCAAUGUGUAAAUCUCUAUAUGUACAGUCUUUCAUGGACGGAGGGAGUAGGUUGAGCACUUGAGCGUGAGCGUGUGUGUUGCGUCAUGUGAUGUGUGCCGCGUGGAUGCAUGAGUGUUGCGUGCGUGCAUGUGUGCAUGUGAGUGUUGCAUGUUGCAUGCAUGCAUGCAUGAGGCUUUUACUCCCUCCCAUUGACAUGUUCAUAUUUAAAGCUUCAUUAAAACGUUGCAUGCAAGAAUUAAGAGAAGACUCACCAAUGUGUGUAAUUGUUCUGGUGUUUUGUUCCAAUUAAUACGUUCGUAAACACAAUUUCUUGUGGAAAACAAACCCAGUAUUGAGUACUUUCAGAAAAAAUUCUUCGGCCACUCAUCAUUUACAACUACCUUGGUCGAUGAUUUUUUUAUUGACCUGUAUAUAAACAUCUGUCCUGGUUUAUUGGUCCCCUUCGUACUUAGUGUUAAAAUUUGACCGUAAAUUUAACUAAGAAUGUGUCAAUGCAUGUCAUAAAAAACUAUACCAUUAAAAACUAUGUUCAAAAUACAAAUCCUAUGAUAUGAUUUUUGGUGGCAUGCAUUAACAUUUUAUUAGUUAAAUAGAUGGUCAAAGUUUGACACAAAAUACUAGUAGUACUUCUACAUUAUUGGCACCGGGUGCCUUGUCCAAUGUUUCAUCUUGUUGGACGGGAUGAGAAUAGAGGCAUAGGGAUAAUGUAGAUAGGAAGUAUUGGCGAUCAUUAUUCCCCAUCUCGGUCAGAGAGAACUAUUCAACUAGUCUUCGUAGUGAAGUGAUAAUACACGCUGCAACAGAUGGGACACUUAAUUAAUAAACUGAACAAGCGUGUUGGUGUUACUAAAUCAGCCUUACCCUAUACUGCCGUCAUGUUUGCCAGUGGAGCACAGUUCCACAAAUAUGCCUACGCACCUCUCUCUUCCAUUAACUGACAUAUGGGCCCUCUUGAGGUUGACCCACAUGUCAUCGGCUUAACUAUUUACACUCCAAAGGACAGUAUAUCCUGGUGGUAGUACUAGUAGAGUUGAGACUUAAUGCACUUUCUUGCCCGUCUUUCCCUCUUCUUCCUCCUCUCUUCUUCUUCCUCAUCUCUUCCCCAUUGUUGGUCGCACACCAUUUCCCCCUGCUCACUGCUCGCCCGCCCAUGCCAUCUUCCUCGAUAGCUCGCUCGUACCAUAUCCCCCGCUCACUGCUCGGCCACACACGCCAUAUUCUUUGCUCGCCCACCCGAGUCCACUUCCCCGCUCGCUCGCAGGCACUGAAAACCCCAAUCACUCAGCGCCCUAGAAAACCCUAUGGAUGCAAAUGACUAACACGCAGAGUCGUGAUUGGAAUUCCCUCCUUGAUGUUCUCUUAUAGUAGAUUUGUAAUCGUAUGGACCUGCUCAGUAUCGUGCAUCUAACCGCAUGCUCGGUGUCUAUGUACCGUCUACUCGGCUGCAACCAGCCGGCCCUUUUCAAGACACCCUACUUUUUGAUGCCUGAUCCUCACAGGUGGCCCAGACACCGACUUGAUGAUCCUACGGAGGUUGACGUCGUGCCCCUCGACAUGCUACCACUACCCGCCCACCUAUCCUUCAUGCGUGGCCACUACUGGGCGGGCAUGAAGGCCAACUAGAUCGUCCUCAUCCACCAAUCUGGUAGUCCGUGGCGUCUCAUGGAUAUCUACACCCAGCGAGAGAUCACCCUUCCAUCAUUGGAUACCGCCGGCAUCGAGCCUCACAGCCCGUCGGACACUCCUGCCUACUAUGCAUGAGACGCGUCGAGCUUUUGGUACGACCUUCGUUUGUUGAAGGUUGUAAUCUGGGAAGUGCCACACCAUCAGAAGACUGCAUGGAUUACAAGUUCAUUGCCUUGUUUGACAUGGGAUUAAUCUAUCUUGAAUCUGGUCGCCAUACAUGGUUAUGGCUCAUCAUCAAUCCUGUUGACCCUCCAUUUCUGUCUGAUGCUAUAGUGCAUGAUGGCAUCGCUUACGUGGUCGACGCACAAAUUGGCUGCAUAUAGUGCUGGAAUCUAUCAUCGUGUAAUUGUUCUAUCUCACCUCAUCUUUACCUUAUGAACACGACUGCCUGUUGAUUGUUAGAAAUUUAGUAUGUAUAGUAUGUCUAUAACCACAUCAUUGCUAUAUGUUCCUCUCAUUUCCUAGAUUUUUAUGACCACACAUGUUAUUGUUAAAGUUGAUAUGAGAACAAUUGGCAUCUAAUGAUUGUUAGAAUAGAUAUUAUAAGUAUAACCUCAUGAUUGCUAUAUGUUACUCUCAUUUCCAAGAUUUUCUAUAACCACGCAUGUUAUUGUUAGAGAUGAUAUGAGAACAGUAGUAACUGCUAUGGUAGAAUAUGAGUAGGCUCUGCCAUAGCUGUUUUCCUCUCAUUUUUACAUGAGGUUUGAACCAUGACAUAUUGCUGGAAUAUGAAAGCCAUUGGCUUCUUUUUUUUAACUUGGCGUCUAAUUAUGACCAAGGCAUUGCAAUUCUCUGGCUAUGAUCUGUGUCACUAUUAUAAUAAUCUCAAUUCCACACAUACUCUGAACAUGGUUGUAUAUUUUUGUCCUUUUGGUGUCCAAUUUGAUUAGUUGCAGCAGACGCAAAUGCGCUGGCCUUCAUAAUUCUAGGACCUGGAAAUAUAAAAGUCAAUGGGUGGUGGUUUAUCGCUCACUGAACUGACAGUGGUCAUUUGAUGCUCAUUCGAACGUACCAAAUUUACCAAACCAUUUCAUCAAACCACAUGCAGUACAAUGUCUGGUGCAUUCAUGACUGUGAUGGCUAUGGCUGCUUUGUGUUCGAGAAAGAUCCCAGCUCUAUUGGGCAGGCAUAUUCAACUAGAGGCGGGUUUACAGCCUCAGCAACCACUCCAUGUUCCUUGGGCUCAAUUAUCCAAUCAUCCAACCAAUCAUCAAUCAUAUCACCGGCGAUGAUUACCGUGCUAUGCAACUUCCAUUCGCCAGGGGGAAAUGUGUUUACACAUCGUACCAUGGGUUUCUUGAAUCACCACAUCCAGAGAUUCGUCAACACAGCUUUUUGCCAGAUGGUCUUCAGUGUGUGAAAGGCAUCCAGCUUCCAAGCGAUGAAUGGCUUUUGCAAACCCGACAUGCGACGAUGUGGUUCAUGCCAACAACAAAUAUGCACAACUUGAUUCAUAGUGAUAUCUAGACUAAGCCAUGUAUCCUGCUGUUGUGCAUAACCCUCUUUUUUGGAUAAUAUGUAUUGUAGUUAGUUUGAAGGAUAUAUACCUUUCUAGGAUCAAGUGCAUCCUAACUCACCUACAUAGGAUGUACUAAUAAUGAUCAUGGAGAUGUUGUGUAGAAGCCAUAUAUAUCAAUUAGGCUUCAAGUGCGUACUUGUUGGUGAAAGUGUUGUCCAAUGGGAAUUAUAUUCUGUAUUACUCAUGUAGCCUACAAAGUCUGUCACACAACCUCGUAACUUCAUACUCCAUUUCUAAAUUUGUACUAGUACUAAUAGUCGUCUAUACCGUAUAUUGCGCUACUCGUACUACUACCUCCCUCCUAGUUCAUUGGUCCCUUUCGUAAUUUGUGUCAAAUUUUGACCAUUAAUUUAACUAAGUAAAUGAUAAUGCAUGUCAUAAAAAAUUAUACCGUUGGAUUCAUAUUUGAACACAGUUUCCAAUGGUAUAAUUUUUGGUGACAUGCAUUGACAUUUUGUUAGUUAAACCUAUGGUUAAAAUGUGACACUAAAUACGAAUAGUAAGUAGUACAGUAGUACUAGUAUACAUUGGUAAAAUUAUUCAUCAUGUACUCACAUUGAAUUGACGUGAAAACAUGUUGCACGUGAGGUGACACAAGAGUCCCGACAGUGUGUUCUGUUCACCAAAGUGAGCCUCACCCCUCUCGUACUACAACAACACUCUCGCAUUCUCUACAAAAUCACUCUCCCAUUCUCUCCCGGUCUCCCCGCCUCCCAGCCACCGCCUUGUUCCGAUCCAUUUGGUACGAUGAACGAAGAGCUACUGGAGUUGCUAUACUUCAUUGCAAGUAGUCAAAAGGAAGAUGCUAAAAAAAUCAAUCUCAACAAGGAUGCUCUUCAAGCUAGCCGGAUGAAGGAAGGAACCAGCGAGGCCACUCCUGUGAGUAUUCGUCCCAUCGCCCUGUAUGGUGAUUCGAUAUUUAUGGGGGUUUCCAAGUCUUUAGAGUCUGCAUGUAGUAAUGAAGUCCAGAUCCCAUUUAGUUCGGGUCAGAUUUGGAGUACCACUUAUCUGUCGAAAUCUUUUAUCAUUUACUUAAAACAGUUGAUUGAUCAUACAUUGAGUACCAUUUAAUUGAAACUAACCGAUGCAAGUCCAAGAAGGAUUGGCCGGUGCUGCCAGCUGCCGUCAAGUUCAAUCCCACAGAUCAGGAGUUGAUCAAGCACCUUGAGGCCAAAGUGAGAGUGCUGACAGCGCGAGAUCUCACCCCCUCAUAUAUUUGUUCAUACGAACCAUCGACAGCGAGCACGGCAUAUGCUACACCCAUCCCGAGAAACUUCCAGGUGAGACACUGAUCAGCCGUCUACUUGCACAAACAUAUUCCUGUGUUUAUAGCUCUAUUUUUGUUUUUAGACACAGACCUAGUGAAGCAAUUAAAAUUUGACAGUUAAUAAAAAGUGAAACAAGUGACUGCAACAUGCCAAAGAUGUUAUGAAAAUGCCAACUACGUACCCUAAAACAUGUAUUCACCAAUACUGCAGGUAUCACACUGAGUGGCCUAAGUAAGAUUUCUUCCAGCGCAACUCCAGGGCGUUCAAAAGGGGCACACGGACGCGUCGCAAGAUACAGUUGGAGUGCGGCAUGCAUGCGAUGUGGCACAAGACCGGCAAUACCUUGCCAGUGAUGGUCAACAGCCGGCAGAUGGGCAGCAAAAAGGUUCUGGUGUUGCACACCAACAAGAACUUUGAAAAGCAGAGGACCAACUGGGUGAUGCACGAGUACCACCUCGGGGACCUAGAGCAAGAGAAGGAGCGAGAGCUGGUCGUCUGCAAGAUUUUCUACCACACGAACACUAGGGCCAGGACUAAAAAGAUUAUAAGUUAGUUCGGUAUUGGUACUUGUACUACCUGGUCGUCUCCAAGUUGGUAUUGCUGUUAAGGAUCUUUCGGUAUGAACUUGGCGCUUGCUUCCAACCAUCAUGUCGAUGGUCAACGUGGAUAUAAAGCUGAAUGAUUUGUUUCCAAACGAAUUUUCAGGCACCUGAUUUCUAUUAGAUGGGUAGCAUAAGUAUCUGUCGUUCGAAUUCCAGUUCUCCAAAUUUUUUACAUCUUCAAAGUAUGCAUGGGAUCCAUCCAGUUUCACAAGCUGAUAGUUGGACGCAGCAUGUCGGAACUGGGUUGUGGCAUGCCAAGCCCAGCUGCAAAUUGUUAAAAGAGAGGAGCGAUAGAUUUGGGCCUUCCAGAAGAGUCAAGCGUCGCGACUUCGAUCGUGAAGCGCCUCCCAUGGACUAAAAAAGGCUUAGUUGGUUAUUAUUAGUUGAAAUAUGUAAAAUAUUCCAUAAUAAAAAGAAAUAUGUAAAAUGCAAUGAAUUUAGUCCGCUUUCACUAAAAACCAUCCGAUUUGCAUGAAAUCCGUCCGUGGAACCACAAGACGGUUGUCCAUACAGAGCCUAACCUUAUGGAACCAGCAGGUCCAUGGCCGUACGCAAGCAAGUGCAUGCACUUAUUAUCACGAUGGAAAAAUAAUGCUGACGUCUGAGACGGUGAAACCCAUGAAGUUUUCAAUGUAGUCAAUAAACGAGAGAAUUCUGCAAGUACAGACUGAUAACUGGGAUCGAGCAGGUAUAUUAUUUUUUCAGGUCGAGCAAGUAUGAAUUGGGCUGUAGACUGCCCAAGCUUGGUUUUGUUUUUAACACGCCCAGCUCAUGACGACAAUGGGGCACAAAGAUCCAGCAGGUAUCAACUAGCCUCUCGCUUGCUAGCCUUAGUUAUAUUUUCUCUUAGAACAUCCGCAUGCAGUUUUUUUACUAAAGAAAACACACAGCCAGUUCUAUUUUCCUCUUGAAACGCCAUGUCCUACUUCCGUUUUCUAAUCUCUACCUAUAGUUUUACUAGUUCAUAUACACGUAUUAUCAUAUUGAAAAUACAUAAAGUUCCCUUUUCUCUUUACAUCCUUAUUUUUUGUUGUUGUUUUCCCUCCCAGCGCUGAUAUCUUUACCACUGGUUUUCCCUAAAACCAACUCAAUUGUCCCAUGUCUUAUUAUCUUACAAAAAUAAAAAAUAUUUUAUUUGGCAAAUCAAUAAGUUCUUAAAAAAUCAACUUUUAUCAUUUCUGUAUUAAAAUAUUUCGGACUCCACCGAAAUAUGCAAAAUUAGGUUGAACUUUUUUGCCGUGGUCCUGGGCAGAAAACGGGUUGUGAUAAAUAUCAUAAGAAUUAGCAAAUGGGCUGCAAACUACUAAAAAAUAGCAAAUGGGAUCUAUGUUGGUUGCCAUAUAUUUGGAGGCUGACUAAGUUCAUGCGUACACAAGGCUUCUCAAAAAAAGAAACUUAGUCAACAAUCGACUCUACCAGCGUCAGACCGUUAGAUGUCAAUCUAACGACAAUCAUGCUUCUUCAAUCUCUGAUCUUCUUGCUCCAGCCGCCCAAACCAGCACCGGCGGAACCGCCUGCUCCCGCCUCCCGUGGCCGGUUGUGCUGCCGUGCAGGCCUCAUGGCCCCAUUUUACUCGCAACCCUGGCCUGGCUAUCCCUAUACUCACCACACCUCUUGUUAUUCUCCGGCGAUGGCAGCCUCACGCUGCAGCCAAACCAAUAAACCCUCGUACCCACUCCACAUGGGAAACAACUGCUGAGUCUUCCUCGGCUCUGAGUCGUUCCCUUACUUGGCCUCGCUGUCGUCCACCACCUUGGUGCUCUCGGCACGGUGUUGUCAACGAACGACAUCCAUCGAAAGAGGACUCUAUGUGGAGAGGCUGACAGCUGGGUACACGGCCACAUGCAAGGAAGUACCUCCUUUUUUGUGAGUAGGAAGUGCCUCCUUAUUACGCGUUAAAAUAAUGAUUCCUCCUCCUNNNNNNNNNNNNNNNNNNNNNNNNNNNNNNNNNNNNNNNNNNNNNNNNNNNNNNNNNNNNNNNNNNNNNNNNNNNNNNNNNNNNNNNNNNNNNNNNNNNNNNNNNNNNNNNNNNNNNNNNNNNNNNNNNNNNNNNNNNNNNNNNNNNNNNNNNNNNNNNNNNNNNNNNNNNNNNNNNNNNNNNNNNNNNNNNNNNNNNNNNNNNNNNNGACAGCUCGGAUCCACCAGCUACUGCGCACAAAAAAUUGGAUACCCCCGCUGCUAGGUGGGUCCCACCACAUUUGGAGGCCGACUUGUGGGCCUACUAAGUUGACGCAGAUGCAUGGCUUUGUCAACUUAGUUAAUAUAAAUUAUUCUACCUACGGUGAUCGUACGAUGUCCAUCCAAAGGUCAUUGUGCUUCUUUAACCUUUGGUCUUCUUGCUCCAGCCGCCCAAACCAGCACCGACCGUGCCGCCUGCUUCUGCCUCCCGUGGCCGGCUGUGCUGCCAUGCAGGCCUCACCGCCCCAUCCUACUACCAUCGCUGGCCUGGCCAUCCUUGUACUCACCCAGACCUCCUGUUAUUCUCCGGCAACGGUGGCCUCUAUUGGAGAUAUGCCCUAGAGGCAAUCAUGUAUGAUGAUAUUUCCUAUGUGUUUAUGAAUAAAGAUAGUCCUUGGGUGUAAUCAAUGAUGCUUGUUGGCAAGUACGUGACUUGUCUAUCAGAUCUUGUGUUGCAUGAUACGUCCUAAAUAGUCCCUAGUCGUAAGUGACGUGUGGGCAUACAUCGAACUAGACUAGCAUGCAAUACGGUGGAUGGUUUUGUCUCACUAACCAUGAGGCAUGUGAUGUUGCCGAACUGCAUGGAUCUGGUCGGAUUAGAGGUUGGAUCCAAGGUGACUGGAUCCAAGCUCGGAUGGAUAUUGGAUUGGACAGACCCAACUAUGAGAUGCAGUGAUGUGUCAUCUGUGAGUCUCUAGUACAACAUACGUUCUAUGUCCUAAGACCUGAGCUAGCGCAUGCACUCGGGAUGGUAACAGGCCUACUUUGGGCCGACCAAAUGCUACUCCGUGACUGGGUAGUUAUGAAGGUAGGUUUCGGCCUUGUCCAGACCCAUGCUGCGAGACAUGGUCGAGCAAGAUGGGGCUUGCCACUCUGAUCAGGAGAGAUAUAUUUUGGGCCCCUCUUGUGAUCCGACCUUGAUAAGCAUGGCCACGUGAUUAGUAUUAUGAGAUAAUCUGAAGUGUUGGUCGGCAUCACUGGAACGGGAAAGAGGUUGGGCUAGCACAAGGAUGACAGUCUCACCUUGAGCCCGACAAUAUAUAUCGUGUGGCAAAAGGAAUAGAAGUGGGAUGUAUAGGUUCGCCAACCGGCUUCAUUGUCUACUUGGUGGUCGGCACGCCUUGCUAGAGGCCGCUACCAGCCGAGCAGGUCGAAGGUGAUCUGACCUGCGACCAAGCCGACUUGAACCUAAGGGGUCGCACGCUUAAGGGAAGGAACCUAUGAGGUCGGGUUCGAGGACACUGGUCGGAUGUUAUCCGAGCUGGACUUGGAACGCGACCGAGUAAACUUGUGGGCUUUAGGGUCCGUGCGAAGCCCAAGUGUUGAGCCCGCGACGGAUGCCUAUAUAUAGUGGAGGUGCGGCACACUCAUUUGGUUGAUUGUUUCGGCGCUAUCACUAGGUUUUGCAUGUGUUGUGAAUAGCCACCUCCACUCGCCGCCGACUAUGUGAUCGGACCUAGCAGUCCGCCUCACGGUGUUCCUCCUGCACACGCGGAUGCCAUUAGAGGCGGUCCACCUGCGCCGCUCUGGCGAACUUGUACGUGGGAUCGUAAGACCGGUUGUUCAAGGGAGAUCGAACGAGGAGGGGAAAAUCCACGCGGAUGCGCUGUCCCAACUCUUCUUCCACUGCACGACACUGCGCGUCUCGUGGUAACGAUCUGUGAUCCAUCUCCUGUAGCAUGUUCUUGGUUGUUCUGUGCACAAGAAAAUUUUAAUUUGCAGUCGACGCACCCUACUAUAGAUCCCAACAGCCUCACACUGCAGCCGAACUAGUAAACCCUCGUACUCCCCUCUACGUAGGAAACAACUGCCUAGUCUUCCCUAGUUCCGGGCCAUUCCCUUCCUAGGCCUCAGCGUCGUCCACCGCCUUGGUGCCCUCGGUGCAGCAUGGUCAACAUGGUCAAGGAACGACUUCCAUCGGAAGAGAACUGUACGUGGAGAGGCUGACAGCUGGGUCCACGACCAUAGCAAGGAAGAGCCUCCUUAUUAUGCAUGAUUCCUCCACCUCACAGCGGGGACCCACCGGAAGGGCCUCUGUCUUUUGCGGCCACAGCAAGGGUUUUAAUUUUCUCUAGAGCGACCCCCACCCCACUGGUCCAUUUGAAGUUUUUGGUUUGUUUGUUUCAGCAACCUGUAAAGAGGUGGAUCUUUCUCCCCUAGCCGGGAAAUAAAUCGGCUAAGUGCAUCUACAUAGCCAGCUAGUUUCUGGACGUGCUUAAGUUUGGUUGGCACUUCGAGCUGAGCCAGGGCUCGGAUUUUAGUCAGAUUGGCUUCCAUUCCCUGGUGGGAGACAAUAAACCCGAGGAGUUUGUGCGCGGGUACUUCGAAAACACACUUCUUCGGGUGGAGCUUAAUUUGAUAUGCUCGGAGACUAGUGAAUGUUUCAUGAAGGUCGUCGAUCAGCUGGCCGGCAUGUUUGGUUUGAUGACCAUGUCGUCGACAUAAGCCUCCACGGUUUCCGAUUAGCUUUUCCAGGCAUGUUUGAAUCAUGCGUUGGUAUGUCACUCUAGCGUUUUAUAAUCCAAACAGCAAUGUGCUAAAGCAAAAUGGCCAAUAAGGAGUGAUGAAGGCUAUUUCAGCCUAAUCAGAUUCCUUCAUUUUGAUCUGAUGAUAACCCGAAUAGGUGUCCAGGAAGCAUAAGGAGUCGUGAUCUGCUGUGGCAUCCAUGAUCAGGUCAAUACGUGGAAGAGGAAAGGGUCCUUGGGGAAAGCAUUGUUAAGGUCUUUAAAAUCGAUGCAAAGGCCCAGGACUUGUCCUUUUUGGGUACCAUGACCAGAUUGGCCAGCCAUUUGGGGUGUUUGAUAUCUAUAAUGAAUUUGGCUUCAAGUAGAUUAGCCAAUUUUUUGCCCAUAGCUUGACGCUUGGGAUCUAAGAACCAAUGAAGUGCCUAUUUAACAGGCAUUGAACCUUUGAUGAUAUUUAGGUUGUGCUUGGCGAGGUUAUGUGGGAUUCCUGGCAUAUCUGAGGGGUGCCAGGCGAAUGUAUCCCAGUUUUCUCUAUGGAAAUUGUGUAGUGAUUCGUCAAUCCCUGGUUGUCGUGGAAUUGUCAUGGCAGAUGCCCUAGCAUGAGGACUUAGAUGUGGAGCCAUCGCACGUAGUUAGCUUAAAGGGGUUAAACGGGACAAGGGACAUAGAGAGUUUUACCCAGGUUCGGCCCCUCGCAACGAGGUGAAAGCCUACUCCUGCUUCAGGUUGUAUUGCUUGGGUUUCGAUUACCAGGGAGCGAAUACACUUGACCUAGUUCUCGACUUGUUGUUUCUUGCCCUAACCCGUCGCCGGGUCACCCCUUUAUAUACAUAGGCUAAUGCUCGGUGGCUUACAGAGUCCCGGCCGGCUCAUACACACCAUGUCUGGCUCGGUGACAGAACUAAUCUUUCCUUAACAUACAAGUUAAACAUAUGGCGGUUUAUGCCCAUGGACCUCAAGUCUCCUUCGGGUCUUGGGCCUUCAGUAAGAUUGCUUCAUGAACCACCAUCUUCAAUAUCUUAUUGGGCCUUCUCAUUAUGAACCGCCAGUGGUAUGACCCGGUGUAACGCCCCGGAUUCGAUGUGCCAGGUGUCUGCCAGUUAUUCACCGACGUUGCCAUGUCAUUUGCUUGCGUGUCGCAUUUUGCCAUGUCAUCAUCUGCAUUUCAUCUGCAUGUUUUUCAAAACUUGCAUCCGUUCGGGUUCCGCCGGUUCUCUCGGUUGUCCGUUCUGAGCCAGACACUCUCGCACGCGCCCGCGGCACCUCCAAAAUAUUAUUUUAUAAGUGGCAUAAAAAUGUUCUCGGAAUGGGUUGCAACUUGUCGUGCGGUCUUAUUAUAGUGUAGACAGGCCGCCUGCCAAGUUUCGUCGCAUUCGAAGCUCGUUUGAUAGCCCAACCGUUAAAUGUAUAACGGUACCGUUGCCGGUAUCUUCGUCGGAAGUUUCGGUAUUCGAAACAGUUGCCGGGCUGCACUUCCCUUCUCUCCCCUCAACCCAAACCUCUCCCUCACAACCCACAAGGUCCAACCUACCCCUCCUUGCGUCUGGUGCCGUCCGAUCGUGAUCGGAGGGCUCCGAAACUCCCCUAACCCUAGCCUCCUUGCUAUAUAUAGACCCCUCCUUCCAAUUUUGGGCAUUUCCUAGUCUAAACCUAGCCCCUAGCCUCCUCCCACCUCCAGCCGGCGCAUCUUCCUCGUUUUCUGCGCCGAACAGCUCCCCUGCCGCCACUUGUCGCCGCCCCACUCGCCAGCGCUACCACCCGCCGUCGCCUGCGGCCUAUCAGAGCGCGACACGUCGCCCCGGCCUUCUCCCUCCGCCACCAGCCCUCCAGGGCCCAGAUCCGGCCCGCCGCCGGGCCGAAACGGGCCCCGUCAGCCCGCGCGCCUCCCACCUGCGCCCGAGCGUUGCCCGGCCACCCGCUCGGUCGCCUCCUCCCGUCGGAGCCCCGCCUCCUCCUCGUCUCCGCCUCGCGGGACCCUGCCGGAGUCGCCACCAGCGAGCAUAGCCGCCGGAGACGCACGCCGGCGCCGGAGCCAGGCCAGUCCGCCCUCGCCUUCCUCUCUCUUCCUCUCUCUCUCCCCAUCGCUAACCGCCCCGGCAGCCUCUUCCUUCGUAGGUCGCGCCGCCGCCCGCGUAUCUCGUUGCCGGCCCCUCCUCCCGCUGGAUCCGGCCGGAAUGGAUCCGCCGCGGCCGAAUCUGCUGUCCCCGCCGCCGGAUCGGACCCCUCCACACUCCCCUCGUCGCCGGAGUAGCCCUCCACCGCCGCCGCCAUGUCCCUGCUCAGGACGAGCAGAGGAGCUGCUCGUCCCGCGUGCACCGCAACCGCAUGGGCCAGCGGCCCCUCCGCGGCCCACCAGCCCAGCCCGUAAGCCAGCUCCAGCCUCGGCCCAGCCCAGCUACAGCCGACCCGGGCUUGCAGCCCAUGGUGAGCCACCCCCUCCUAAAUCCCGCACCAUGCGGCUUUUAACUAUCCUGCGCCCGUUCUGUUUUUUUUUUUCAUAAAAACUGCUAAGUCCCGAAAUUCUAUCAUUUUUAUGCCCUACUCAUCAUGCUGUAACUUGUUGCUUACUGCUCCGUUUCGUGCGUAUAAUAUAUCAAAAUGAUCGUCAUGAGAUGAUCUACAUUUCAUUCCAUUGCAUCAUGUUCAUUUGAGUCCAUCUUGAUGCCUGAAUCAUCGUUGCAAGAGUGCUAUGUGAUGUUAAUCUGCUGAAACUGUUAUAACUUGCUCAUUUGUCAUUUUUGUUGCAUUUUGUGUGUGCAUCCUAUGAGCUUGAUGUCUACAUAUGUUUUGUUCUACAUCAUGCCAUCUUCACAGUGGUUCCAUCCAUGUAUUUUUGUGAGUUGUGUAGUGAGUGCAUCAAGCUUGUUAAGUAGGGUACUUGCUGUUGCUAUUUUGCUAUGUUGAAUCUGUUAUUUCGUGAUGCUAUGUAAACCUGCUGCUACAAGUCAUUCUAUGCAUAAUCUGGAGAUGUUCACUAAGGAUGAUUUGUUAUACAUGUAAUGCUAUAUCCAUACAUGCCCCUGGUUGCAUUUAUAGCCUGCUGUAACAUGUUGUAAUCUUGCUCCAAAAUUACUAAAUAAUGUUGCUAUCAGUCUGUUAACAUUAAGUUCAGUUUUGCCAUGUGUUUUGCUAGUGAUCCAUGCAUCCUAUGAACUUGCUCUUGCCAUGUUUAACUUCAUAAACAUGUCUUCUUUCUGUUGGUUGCCUUGCCAGGCCAUGUAUUGCUCUGUGGUGAGUGGUUCAAGCUCACCAACAUGCCUACUUAUUGUUGUUCCUGCCAUGUACGAAUCUGUCAUAUCACUUGCUAUGUUUACAUGGGUGCCAUCAUAUUUUCUGUUCCUUUUUGGCUCAUGGUCAGUAAGGGACUUUCAUUCUAUGAAAUUAGUAGAUUCAUGAAAUGCCUUUGUUUUCCAUGAUAAGUUCAUGUAACAUGUUGUUUGAUAGCUCUAAACAUUGCAACCUGAUGUUAUUUCUACAAAGUCUGAAACUGUUAUUAUUUGCAAUCUUUCCAUGUGUGUUUGAGCAUGUUCUAGUGAUUUCUGGAGAUAGCUCAGUGUUCAUAUUUUGUUAUGCUUUACAUUUACAUCAUGUUCAUGCCUUUUGUUUUCAUAUUGUGGUACUGUAGCAUGUUGUUUUGAUGCUUGCAAUAUGCCUAGUUGCUGUUUUGGACAGAUUGCUGCUAUAACUUGUAUAGAGUGCAUGUGUUGAACCGUUGCUCUGUUUUGAGUGUGCUCUAUAUGAAACUUGCUUGUUUUUGAAUCUAGUUUCAUAUUAUCAUGUUGCAUCCUUGUUUUGGUGUGUUUGCUUGAUGUUUGUAUGCAUCUUGCAUCAAUGCCAUGUUUAACUUGUUUUGCUCAUAUCUUCUAGGCCGUAGCUCCGAAUUAAAUGAACUUUAUAUGUAACUUGACUAGAAUCUCGUGUAGAUCAUCUUGGUGCAUCUUAACUUUCUGUUUAACAACUUGAACAUAAGGUUUGUUCAGAUCUGGACCAACUUCGAAAUUUACAUAUGAGGACUUACCGGAAUUGUUAUAUGUUGUUUCCGGCCUCAUUUAAACUUGCUUUGAUGUGUUGCUCUUGUAUGCAUCAUCUCUUGCCAUGAGUAGCUUCAUGUAGCCUUGUCUUGCAUCAUACUUGGUUGUGCAUCAUGUCAUGUUCAUGUGUGGUGUGUUUACCAUGUUGUGUGCUUCUUCUCAAUAGUUCCUGUUUCGUUGCGAUCGUGAGGAUUCGUUCGUCUACGCUUGGUUCGUCUUUGUGGAUUCAUCUUCUUCAUGGACUCGUUCUUCUUUCUAGAGGGAUUUCAGGCAAGAUGACCGCUACCCUGGAUCUCACUACUAUCAUUGCUAUGAUAGUUGCUUCGUUCUAUCGCUUUGCUGCGCUACCUACCAUUUGCUCUUCAAGCCUCCCAAUUUGCCAUGUCAGCCUCUAACCUUUUGCACCCUUCCUAGCAAACCAUUGCUUCGCUAUGUUACCGCUUUGCUCAGCCCCUCUCAUAGCGUUGUUAGUUGCAGGUGAAGUUGAAGAUUGCUCCAUGGUGGACAGGAUUAUGUUGGGAUAUCACAAUAUCUCUUAUUUAAUUAAUGCAUCUAUAUACUUGGUAAAGGGUGGAAGGCUCGGCCUUAUGCCUGGUGUUUUGUUCCACUCUUGCCGCCCUAGUUUCCGUCAUACCAGUGUUAUGUUCCCGGAUUUUGCAUUCCUUACGCGGUUGGGUGAUUUAUGGGACCCCCUUGACAGUUCGCUUUGAAUAAAACUCCUCCAGCAAGGCCCAACCUUGGUUUUACCAUUUGCCUCACCACCACCUACAUUUCCCUUGGGAGUAAUUAACCCGAGGGUCAUCUUUAUUAUAGCCCCCCCCCCCCCGGGGCCAAUGCUUGUCUAAGUGUUGGUCCGAACCAGAGCCACUUGCAGCGCCACCUCGAGGAAACUUGAGGGUUGGUUUUAGUUGUACGUAGUGUUCAUCCGGUGUUGCCCUGAGAACGAGAUAUGUGCAUCUCCUUUCGGGAUUGUCGGUGCAUCGGGCGGUCUUGCUGGUCUUGUUUUACCAUUGUCGAAAUGUCUUGUAAACCGGGAUUCCGAGUCUGAUCGGGUCUUCCUGGGAGAAGGUAUAUCCUUCGUUGAUCACGAGAGCUUAUCAUGGGCUAAGUUGGGACACCCCUGCAGGGUAUAAACUUUCGAAAGCCGUGCCCACGGUUAUGUGGCAGAUGGGAAUUUGUUAAUGUCCGGUUGUAGAGAACUUGACACCAUAUCCGAAUUAAAACGCAUCAACCGUGUGUGUAGCCGUGAUGGUCUCUUUUCGGCGGAGUCCGGGAAGAGAACAUGGCUUUGGGUUAUGUUUGAUGUAAGUAGGAGUUCAGGAUCAGCUCUUGAUCAUUGCUAGCUUCACGACCGUUCCGCUUGCUCUCUUCUCGCUCUUAUUUGCGUAUGUUAGCCACCAUAUAUGCUUAGUCGCUGCUGCAACCUCACCACUUUACCCCUUCCUUUCCCUUUAAGCUUUUCUAGUCUUGAUACCCAUGGUAAUGGGAUUGCUAAGUCCUCGUGGCUCACAGAUUACUACAACAACAAUUGCAGGUACAGGUUGCGAUGAUCUUGACGCGAGAGCGAUGCUUGCUUGUCUUGGAGUUCUUCUUCUACUUCUUCUUUGAUGAGGGGAUAGGUUCCAGGUCGGCAGCCUGGGCUAGCUGGGUGGAUGUCGUUUGAGUUUUUGUUUGUGUUUCAUCCGUAGUCGGAUGAUGCUCUUAUGUAAGAUGAUGUUGUAUUCGUGUGGCAUUGUAUGCCUUUUGUAUGUAUCCCCAUCUAUUAUGUAAUGUUGAUGUAAUGAUAUCCACCUUGCAAAAGCGUUUCAAUAUGCGGUUCUAUCCUUGGUGGGACCUUCGAGUCUCUUUAGGAUAGUAUCGCAUAUUGGGUGUGACACCCGGCCCCUCCUGGGCGGGUCAUACCCAAUAGUUAUAUCCCCAACAUUAGGCCCUAGGUUGAUGUGAACUUGUUCAUAUCAAUCGUCAACACUUUAGAAAAAAUCCUUCCUCGUCAGUCCUUAAGAAAUCUUAUAACCCGCCAUGACGUUAGCUCACGGAAUCGUGGUAACCCGCCAUGACAUCAUCUCACAUUAAUAUCACACAAGGCCCAAAUCUCAAUAUGCCUUCACUUCUAAUGAAUCUCUGAAAAUCGAGGCAUAUUUGUUGUCACAAUCUUUUUUGGCCUCCUCGAUUCCCGUGCAUACCACUUAUCCUUCUGCCUUAUAAAUAGGGCCAGGGGUCCCUUUCAUUCUCCCCCCUUGCCUCCUCGUCUUCGUCCUCUUCCUUCCAACGCCUCAAGCGCCGAGCUCCACCGCCGCCGUCGACCUUUGUCCACUGCCUCAACCUCGGGCGCUGCAUCAACCUGAACGCACCAGAGUUCCUCCGCGCGCCUCCGCUGUCCAACAGCACCGGUAAGCUUUUCUCCUUCCCUAACCGUAGAUCCCUUUAGGGUUUACUUGAGUUCUUCGGAGUUCAUCUCCGUUCAUCUCUGUCUCCCCUUAGAUCCUGUAGUUUUUUAAUCCAAACACCACACCAACCUUGUGGUGUAGCAUUUUAGCACUUGUUUUUGAUAUUUGAAUGCCUCCUUUCCGUAAGAAAUCUUAUCUGCGCACAUGAACUGUUCCACUGCCACCACUUAGGUCUAGAAUUUUUCUCCUUUAUAUGAAGUGCUCUAGAUCUGAAAUUAUAGCACCAAUCUGUGAAAGUUGUUUGUCCAACACUUAGUAACUUUUCACUCAUAGAUCUGAAAAUUGAUAGUUGUGCUGGCGGCUUAACUUAUAAACCAUAACCUGACAGGUACCAUUAGUCCCCUCUUAAGCCGCCAAUAGACUGUUAUGCAUGUCUCAACACUAACCUUGAGCUUAACAUACUGCAUGUUUAUUUACCUUUGAACCAAUGACUGGUUUAACCAAUAUAAUAUUAAACCAGCAAAAAUUUCCUUUCAGAUCAUCAUCAACAAUGACUAAGACAUUCACUGCAUGCAACUGGGUAUCCUCCUGAGUCACCGAGGAAGAUUUGAACAAUUUUGUUGAAACUGGUGUCUUAGCCAAGAAAGACGACAUCCACUGGAGGGUCCCACACACCGAAAAUCCUCCUGAACCCAAGGAAGGAGAAGUAAUUGUUUUUAUUGAUCAUAUGAUCCGGGGGUUUACCCCGCCCGGCUCAAAAUUCCUUCGAGACAUGCUACAAUUCUUCCAAAUUCAUCCUCAAGACAUUGGGACCAAUUAUGUCUCCAACAUUUGCUACUUCCAAGUCUUUUGUGAAGCUCAUCUUCAAGAGGAACCCACUGUCGAAUUGUUUAGGGAAUUUUAUUACUUGAACCGGCAAACGGAGUUCACCGACGGGCCCAGCUUGGAACUAGGUGGAGUUUCAAUUCAGAAACGGAAAGAGGCCACCUUCCCAUAUGCUAAGCCGCCCAGUCAUCUCAAGGACUGGAACCAGGCUUGGUUCUAUUGCCAAGAUACAUCUCCAGAGGGUGAGAAUCCCCUGCUGGGUUAUCGUGAACACCGGCUCAGCAACACAUAUCAGCUCCCAUAGCGGAUCAGCACGAAGGAACGGGCCAAGUAUGCACCCACUUUUUCAAAGAUGAGAGCCUUCAUGGCUAAUGGCUUAACCGGCAUCGACCUUGUUUGGUGCUGGGUCUCCUGGAGGAUCCUUCCCUUAAGCCGCCGCCCCAGCUUAAUGUGCGAGUACACCGGCAACUUGAAAGAUCCCCAAUGUCACUGGAAAAUUCAAUUAUCUGAUGUAGAAGUCAAUGAAGCAAACAAGGCUUUGUUGAACGAAAGUUGGGCAGAAUGCAGUAAAACCGGACUUGGUCCUAUCUGCACCUUCAACCAGCCGCCAGCUGUAAGUGUUGCACACCAUGUUUCCAGUUUGAAUCAUGUUUUCAUUAACACUGCCCACUUAUGAUCCUCUGACCUCCACAGGCUGAUUCUCCCUUUUGGAAGAAGAAGCUGCAAGAUAAGCCGGCCAAGCAGACCCGGACCAAGACCAAGGUUACCAAAAAACUUGCCAAGAAGAAGAACGACCCCUCCGAGUUACUGAACUUGGAUGACGAUGGUGAUGAUAACGAGUCGGAGGUAGAACUUGAUUCCCUUGGCUCAUUUUGUACAUAUCAUUGACAAUGACUAUUAUCAGGAUGAAGCGGAAGCCAGCCGUGCGGGUGAUGAAGAGGUAAUUAUUCUUUCCUCUCGCUCAGAAUCUCUGCCAAAACAGAAAACUUGCCAAGCAAGAGGGAAAGUAAGGUUUUCUCAUCCUUUGGAUUAUUUGGAUCCCAACUUUAUUUUGAAGAAGCAGCAACAUGAAGCUCGCCGCACAACUCAGAACAGUGGAGGCGGAGUCCUUUCCUCCGGCUUAUCGAACACUCCAGCUCCCCGCAAGCGUCGUCCAGAGGUCUCAACAAUUUCGGACUUAACUUGUCCCAAGGCCGGUCUUUUUCGACAACCUCUUAAUCCCUCCGAUUCAAAUUAUCAAGGAACAUCUCAUUCCUCCUCUGGCGACUCAACAGGGACUCAUGUUCCAGUAUUCAAGAAUGUGCCUGGGUAAGUAUUAAAUCUCUGCUUUCAAUCAUGUACUCAAUUGUUGUGUUAACCUCAUCUUAUUUUUCAUUCACAGAGCUAUGGCAAAGCCCAGCAAGAAAAUGGAGGUGACAAAAACCACUGAAAACCAUUCUGAUCGGGAGCAACAGUCAACAGAGACCUCCCACCAUGCCCCUGAAGCCACAACCGAUGAACCACCACUGGUUGAACACAACAUCUCCAUGGAUCAAAUGGAUGUUGACCUAGCCAGCACCAAGCUGCCAAGUCCCAUCAAGUCGCCAAGCCCCAUAAAGCCUACUGAAGAAAAGGUUGACAAUGUUAUCAUCACUGGGCUUGGCUUUAUAGCACCAGGCAAUCCCACUGUCUUGGCAAAGCACAGCGCCAAGGAAGAAAUUGUUGUUGCUGACAAAGGCAAAUGGUCAAUCAACUUAGAAAGUUAUGCCCACUUCAGCGCUCAAGAGAUCCACUCUGGGUACUUGAACCGCAUGCAUACAAGCCGCGACUUUGAAGCCGGCUUAGUCAACUUGAUGAAGGAGCGUUUUGAGGUAAACAUUGUAGCUCUCUUCAUAUGAAUAUACUUCCAUUAGCCGCCAAGUUUACUGGACAUGAUAGAAUGGGAUGUACUAUAGACUUUAAAUAGCCUUGUAGAUCAGAUUGAAUAGCCCCCAAGGGCCAGCUUAUACUUUCAAGAUAACCGGGACUUUCAAUAGUAACACUUCAAUGUUGCACAUGUGUAGCCCCCAAGGGUCGGCUUAAUCUGUCAAGAUGAGCCUGGACUUUGAAUAAGAUUCAAUUUCACACCUGUAGCCCCCAAGGGCCGGCUUAAUCUGUCAAGAUAAGCCAGGUCUUAUUACCAUAUUUGUCCAUAAAAUUCAAGCAUAUAGCCCCCAUGAAUUGGUUAUUGUCAUCAUAAUGUAGUCGGGUCAUCAUAAAAUUGUCUUCAGAAAAGUGCAAUGUGCAUUAGCCCCCAAGUGCACAGUGAAAUACUUGUAUUGUGCUUGGGACUUUUAAAUAAGAUGAUUAUAACCCCGCCUGCAGGUUGAACUUAAUGUCAAAGAAUCCCAAGUUGCCGAUCUUCAAGAGAACAUAAAGUCUCGGCAAUCUGAAACCUCCAAGGCCAAAGCCGAAUUGAUCACUACCUUGGCGGAGAUGGAAAAGCUGAAGAAAGAUUUCAAGGCUGACCAGGAAGGCUGGGAGACAGAGAAAACAGCUCUGUUGAAGAGAGCGGAGGAUGCAGAGGCAAGUCUUAAGCUGGUGGCUGAAGAGCUUGCCGGUUUAAAACAUCAAGUAAAUGCCAUGACUACUGCCAUCUUCGGUAAGUAACUUCAUCUCAAUUUGUUACUACCAGUGCAUUGCAAUCAUUAUUCAUCUGGCUUAUAGAUUUACUUGGCAAUGCAGGCUCCAGGAUUGCCCACCUUGGCUCGGAUAUGCGCAAGAAACUGAAAGCCGCAUAUACUCUGAUAGAGCAAUUAUAUACUGGCGCUCAACGAGCUAUCUCUACAGCCUCGCGUAAGAAGCAACCGCCAACCCUCAUCAAGGACACACUGGAGAAGCUAUUUGUGUUGCCCCAACAGGUUGAAGAGCUUAAACAAUCAGCUGCAAGAGCUGGUGCCAUCACUGCACUAACCCGGGCCAAGGCGUGGAAAGCAGAUCUUGACCCGAAGGAUUUGGCCAAUGGUUGCCCUAGUGUCAAGGAGGACGGGUCUCCCUUCAAUGCUGAGGACUUUGCUUCAAUAGCAAGAGAAAUGCGUCCUUUAGCAAGCAAGUUAGCUGAAGAUACCGACCUAUCACAUUAUCAGGUGGUUUACGAUGUUGACAACAAGAAGGUCAAAGCGCCAAUCCAUGAGUCCCAUGACCUUACUCCUCCAAUUCGUAAGCACACCUUCGCCCCUCACAUUGACCCGUCAACACUUAUUAGUGACGAGGCUGUAUUCAAAGCUUCGACUGGGAUCAACUGGGCAACCUCUGACUUCCAUCCAAUGGGUGAAGAAGAGGAUGAUGAACCGAUGCUGGAUGACCCACAACCCUCAACUCACCAAGGCCAAGACUAGUAAAAUGCAGGCCGGCUUAGCAUCUGUCAUUUGUGAUACUUUGCCAAAACACUUUUUUUGGGCCAUCUGUUGCCUUGUAAUAGGCUAGCUUGAAAACAAUUAUCUGUCAUGCCAUCGCGCAUGUUGAUCUGCAUAACACUUAUGAACCAUUUUGAUCUUCCUUGACGAUCCAAUGUUUAUGCUCAUACUCAUUAUAAACUUUGCUUAAGCAUGUUGUCAUAAACCCUGCAUACAAACAGAGCACGAGUACCUUGGCGGUUUACCCCAAGGCGGGUCAAAAUGCCCCAUAUAACAAGCCACUGGUGAUUAUAACAUCCAUAACCAGGGCCGGUUUACCAAAACCUUAUAGAAUCAUAACAAAAAUAAAUAUCAUACAUGUGAUAUUUAAGUAUAUUGCCAGUUCACCAUGCCAUAUAAAGUAAGGGUAACAACCAAGACCCAAAGCACAACGCCAUGUGCAAUUUAUUCAUACUGUCGGCUUACAAUGCAAGAAACAGCAAAGGAUAGCAUCCCAAAUCUUUAGAGUACAAAACUCCAAACAUAUGAUCAUCAUACACUGGCGACUUAACGUCCAAAGCCAGGUCGGGUUAACAAAACACUGGAUGUUAUCAAACAAAGAUUAAGGCAUCAUGGCCUGAAUCAAAUUUCAACCAUAUAUCAAUAUGGUACAUAAAUCACCAAAAAAGAGUCAAAGGCAAUAGAAAACAGAAGACCGAGGCAUUCAAAGGCUGCCAAGCCUCAACAUCAAGUGCUAUUCAAGGGUUGCACAGCCACUGGGUUACUCCUUAAUUCAAACCUGUAAGCCGGGCCUCACAUGACCAAUCGCCGUUUUAUCUUUGACAAGUUCAUGGUCUUUAAAAGAUUGACUGUCAAGAGUACGGCGAGUCAUUCCAAGAUUACCUGGUCGGAGUGGCAAGCAUAGAAAGGCAGGAUAACCCGGAUUUUUGGUGAAUACAGCUGGCGUCCAAGCCUAUUACGAGGGACAACAAAGCACCUAUUCAUUUAACAAGAAGCCCCCAAGUAAUAUUUUGAUGCAGGCAUUCAAGCCAGAUCAGUAGGGUAGUCAUAGCUAUGCUCAAUGAGCAGGAAGCCCCCAAGUAUUUGCAAUCAAGGCGUACAAGCCGGAUCAAAAGGGUAAUCAUAGCUAUGCUCAAUAAGAAAGAAGCCCCCAAGUGACCUUAUGAAGUAACAAUAAAGACUCAGAUUCUCAUAAAUGAAAUGACAGAGGCCCUGAAUCAUCAUGUAUGCUGGCUUUAUUAUACUAAUCAUAAUGUAUACAUUGGUGAAGGUAUGUACAUCACAAGAGCCGGUGGCUCAGGUGUAAUAAGGUUGAAGAUGAGCAAUAUUCCAGGGCCGAUGGGUCUCCUCCUCCGACGUGCAUGAGUCCUUGUGGUCUCAAACAUCCAUAAGGUAGUAUGACCCGUUGUUAAGACUUUUGCUGACCACAAAAGGUCCUUCCCAAGGUGGGGAUAACUUGUGCAUGUCAGUUCGAUCCUGGAUGAGCCGGAGCACCAAAUAUCCUUCUGAAAGGUCCUGGUUUUAACCCGGCGACUGUGAGAACAAUGCAAAUCUUGCUGGUAAAUCGCCGAACGAGCCGCCGCAAGGUCACACUCUUCAUACAAAAGGUCAACAGCAUCCCGACAUGCUUUCUCAUUACAAGCUUCAACAUAAGCCGCCACACGAGGCGAAUCAUGACGUAUGUCACUAGGGAGAACCGCCUCUGCUCCAUAAACCAUGAAGAAAGGCGUGUAACCCAUGGAUCUAUUGGGGUGAUAUUGAUACUCCAAAGCACUGAGGGCAACUCUUCCACCCAACAACUCGGUUUCCUUUGCAAAGGGACCAUAAGCCGGGGCUUGAUACCUCUCAAGAUUUCUUGACUGGCUCUUUUAGCUUGACCAUUAGACUGGGGGUGAGCCACCGAUGAUACAUCAAGCCGGAUAUGCUCUUCUUGACAAAACUCUUUCAUUGCACCCUUAGACAGAUUAGUGCCAUUAUCAGUGAUGAUACUAUGAGGGUAUCCAAAACAAAAGAUCACCUUUUUGAUGAACUGAACCAUCGUUGCUGCAUCACAUUUGCUGACUGGCUCAGCUUCAACCCACUUUGUAAACUUAUCAACAACUACCAGAAGAUGAGUCUUUUUGUCCUUGGACCUUUUAAAAGGCCCAACCAUAUCUAGCCCCCAGACUAUAAACGGCCAAGUAAUUGGAAUCAUCCUUAAUUCUUGAGCCGGCACAUGAGCUCGUCUUGAAAAUUUCUGGCAGCCAUCAUAUUUACUGACCAAAUCUUCUGCAUCAGCAUAAGUCAUCGGCCAAUAAAACACAUGACAAAAAGCUUUAGCAACGAGAGACUUAGAGCCGGCAUGUUGACCACAAUCUCCUUCAUGACUCUCCCUUAGAAUUUCACAGCCCUCCUCAGGAGAAAUGCAUCAUUGAAACACUCCUGUAACACUGCAUCUUUGUAGCUUACCAUUGACAACAGUCAUUGACUUAGACCUUCGAGUUAUUUUCUUGGCCAAGGUUUCAUCCUCCGGUAACUCGCCCUGGGUCAUAUAAGCCAAAUAUGGAAUAGUCCAAUCAAGAAUAACAUGGAGAGCCGCCACCAGCUGUGCCUCCGAGUCAGGAAUUGCAAGAUCUUCCUCUAUAGGCAAUUUGACUGAUGGGUUAUGCAAAACAUCAAGGAAAACAUUAGGGGGUACCGGCUUAUGCUGAGACCCCAGCCGACUUAAAGCAUCAGCGGCCUCAUUUUUCCGUCGGUCAACAUGCUCCACUUGAUAACCUUUGAAAUAACCAGCAAUAGUGUCAACCUCUCGACGAUAAGCCGCCAUGAGUGGAUCCUUUGAAUCCCAAGUUCCUGACACUUGUUGAGCCACCUAAGUCGCCAAAACACCUCACCCGGCAUAGAUUCAUCUCUUUAGCCAUCCGAAGACCGUGGGGAAAGGCUUCAUACUCAGCUGCAUUGUUAGUACAAGGGAACAUCAACCUUAAAACAUAACAAAAUUUAUCACCUCAUGGGGAAGUCAAUAUAACUCUAGCCCCUGAGCCUUCCAAUUGCCUGGAUCCAUCGAAGUGAAUAGUCCAAUAUGUGCUAUCUGGCUUAUCAUGAGUCAUCUACAAUUCCGUCCAGUCAUUGAUAAAAUCCACAAGUGCUUGAGACUUUAUAGCUGCCUGAGGCAUAUAUUUCAAGACAUGGGGUCCAAGCUCAAUGGCCCACAUAGCCACCCGACCUAUGGCUUCUCUGUUUUGAAUAAUAUCUCCCAAGGGAGCAGAACUAACCACAGUGAUGGGAUGACCAAGGAAAUAUUGCUUCAACUUGCGGCUAGCCAUGAACACGCCAUAUACCAACUUCUGCCAAUGUGGGUAUAGCUGCUUAGACUUAAUGAGCACUUCACUGACAUAAUAAACCAGCCUUUUAACCGGAUACUCCUUGCCUGAAUCCUUCCUUUUAACCACAACUGCCACACUGAUAGCUCUGUUGUUUGCAGCCACAUACAACAACAAGGGCUCCUUCUCCAUAUGAGCUACAAGAACCGGCGGUUCAGCCAGCUGUCUCUUAAGCACCUCAAAUGCCUCAUUAGCAGCAUCACUCCAGACAAAGUCAUCUGUCUUUUUCAUCAUUUGAUACAAAGGGAUGGCCUUCUCUCCCAGGCGGCUUAUAAACCGGCUCAAAGCUGCAAUUUGACCCGCCAAACAUUGGACGUCAUUGAUACACGCCGGCUUAGCCAAAGAAGUGAUAGCCUUGAUUUUUCUACGGGUUAGCUUCAAUGCCCCUCUCAGAAACCAGGAAACCCAAAAGCUUACCUGCUGGCACGCUAAAGACACACUUGGCCGGGUUAAGCAUCAUCUUAUAAACCCGGAGAUUGUCAAAGGUCUCUUACAAAUCAUCUAUCAAAGUUUCCUUUUUCCUGGAUUUCACAAUGAUAUCAUCCACAUAAGCAUGAACAUUUCGCACAAUCUGGUCAUGGAGGCAAUUCUGAACACAUCGUUGGUAAGUCACCUGGGCACUCUUAAGCCCAAAGGGCAUAGACACAUAAUAGAAGGCUCCAAAGGGAGUGAUAAAAAUUGUCUUCUCCUGGUCCUUAACUGCCAUCUUGAUCUGAUGAUAACCAGGAUAAGCAUCCAAAAAGCUCAAACGCUCACAACUCGCCAUAGCAUCAAUAAUCUAAUCAAUACAAGAGAGAGUAAAAGGGUCAACCGGGCAGGCCUUAUUAAGGUCUGUAUAAUCCACACACAUACGCCAAGUGUUGAUUUUCUUAAGUACCAGCACCGGGUUAGCUAACCACUCAGGAUGAAAAUCUUCAAUGAUGAACCCUGCCGCCAAGAGCCGGGCCACUUCUUCCCCAAUUGCCUUGCGCCUCUCUUCAUUGAAACGACGUAGGAAUUUCUUGACCGGUUUAAACUUUGGAUCCACAUUAAGAGUGUGCUCAAUGAGUUCCCUCGAUACACCUGGCAUGUCAGAAGGUUUCCAUGCAAAGAUGUCCCGAUUCUCACGGAUGAACUUUGAAAGAACAUGCGGUGCCCCCAUGUUUGGUUUUGGCAAUUGAUGACAAUCUCUAUGGACUAAUGGUUGCCUUGAGUUAUAUUUGAAGGGUUUGUCCAUAGGCUUUUCUUGGAGUCCAUUUGUUGGUUUCAAGGAGAGUUUGUGAUGACCAAGUUGCUAUUAAGGAAUUAUCCAAAGAUUGGUCUUAUGAGUGUUGAGCUUAUUGCAAGCAUGUCUUGAAGAAGAAGAUUGUGUGAUCAUUCAUGUUUACCUUCAAGACAUCAUCCAAAUGAAGAGAGUUGGAAAGAUUCAAGGUUGAUCAAGACUAAGUCAAAGAAUGAAUCAAGUUGAUCAACACACAAAGCAUAGAAGAUGUACCGAGAGGGAUCAAGCGAUCCCAUGGUAUGGUAAGCAUGGUCAAUUAUGCUUUGUGUACUAAUCCAUGGUCUUCGUGAGAGUUCUUUGUGGGGUUAGGUUGCAGUGUGCAAGCUCAAGUUGAAUCAUCACGAAGAGAUCAUAUGCUUGAAGCUUGCCGUCCAUUGUGGCGACAAUGGACUUGUGAAGAUGUGCAGAAGAGUGGCUCACCCAUAGUGGAGUAUGGGGAGCAAUCAACUAGUCUUCUUUGAGCCAAUGCAAUCAAGAAAGGUGGUCCAAUUUGAGGGAGUCAAGAUCGUCAUCAUCUAGCUCAAGUGGAUCAUGUGCAAGGCAAAGGUUUGCCCUUGAUAGGUUUUCUAUUUUACCGGUCUCACGGUAGUUGUGGGAGACCGGGUUAUAGGAUUGAUUGCUGUACUAUCAAGGGGGGCUCUCGAUGAGUUGCUUGAUCGUAUCGUUCGUAGAGAGCUCAAACCAUUGCAUCCUUGCAUCAUAUUUCCUGGUUCUUAUUUGGUUCUUCUCCUUGUGAGAUUUGGAGCUUUUGGUCAUGUUCAUGACAAGCUCGAGUUCAUCGAAAACGGAGUUCACUUGCAUCUUCUAUGAUGUUUUCGAUGUUGGAGGGUAUGCCGGUUCUUCUUGGUUGGAGGUUUCACUCCUUUGUUUUGAUGCUACUCGUCUUGCUCUAUCCAACAAGCUUGAGUUUGCUCAAUUCGGAGCUCAUUUGCAGAAGUUAUGGCAGUUCUGGUUUCCUUUGGAGUUUUCUUUGUUUUAGCGGUAGUGGCUUAUGGCUGGCGCCAGCGGUAGUACCGCCAAAGCUCCCCAGCGGUAGAACCGCUCUCAGAGCGGUAGUACUGCUCCAAGCGGUAGUACCGCUCUCCGAACGGUAGUACCGCUUGGGGUUUUCGGCCGUAGUACCGCUGUGUAACACCUUGGAUGUAACUUUCCAUCUUUGUAACUCCAACUCUUGCCAUUUUCGGCCAUGUGAUAUGAUAUUCCCUCUGUGGUUGGGUUUUGUCUUUUGGUUUGCAUUUUAUUCAUGUCAUGCAUAUCAUAUCAUGUCAUCAUGUGCAUCUCAUUUGCAUACGUGUUCGUCUCAUGCAUCCGAGCAUUUUCCCCGUUGUCUGUUUCGCAAUCCGACACUCACACAUGCACCGGCGCACCCCUCUUGUCUCCUUUUCGUGUGCGGGUGUUGAACGUUCUCGGAAUGGACCGAGCCUUGCCAAGUGGCCCUGGUAUAGCACCGGUAGACCACCUGUCAAGUUUCGGGACGUUUGGAGCUCGUUUGGUACUCCAACGGUUAUCCGCAUAUUCGCAAGGCCUCUUUUAAGUUGCAGCCCAACACCCCUCCAAAAUAGCCCAAUAACCCAUCUAACUCCCCUCCACGCUCUCCGUCGUCGGAUCACGAUCGUGUGGGCGAAAAUCGCACCUCAUUUGGACUCUCCUAGCUCCCUCUAUGCCUAUAUAUACACCCCCAUUCCAAAUUCGGGGAUCCUCUCCCCCCCCCCUAACCCUAAAAAUCCCAGAUCCGCCGCCGCCNNNNNNNNNNNNNNNNNNNNNNNNNNNNNNNNNNNNNNNNNNNNNNNNNNNNNNNNNNNNNNNNNNNNNNNNNNNNNNNNNNNNNNNNNNNNNNNNNNNNNNNNNNNNNNNNNNNNNNNNNNNNNNNNNNNNNNNNNNNNNNNNNNNNNNNNNNNNNNNNNNNNNNNNNNNNNNNNNNNNNNNNNNNNNNNNNNNNNNNNNNNNNNNNNNNNNNNNNNNNNNNNNNNNNNNNNNNNNNNNNNNNNNNNNNNNNNNNNNNNNNNNNNNNNNNNNNNNNNNNNNNNNNNNNNNNNNNNNNNNNNNNNNNNNNNNNNNNNNNNNNNNNNNNNNNNNNNNNNNNNNNNNNNNNNNNNNNNNNNNNNNNNNNNNNNNNNNNNNNNNNNNNNNNNNNNNNNNNNNNNNNNNNNNNNNNNNNNNNNNNNNNNNNNNNNNNNNNNNNNNNNNNNNNNNNNNNNNNNNNNNNNNNNNNNNNNNNNNNNNNNNNNNNNNNNNNNNNNNNNNNNNNNNNNNNNNNNNNGCCUCUCCUCCGCCUGCGGACGCCGCCGUCGCCGGCCUCCGCCCCGGCGUCCUCCUCCGCCGCCGCUUCCCCGUCCUCCGGCAGCGCGCCGCCGCCGCCCGUUCUCCGGCGAGCCCGGCCUCGCCUCGGUUCGCGCGCUCCAGAUCCGUUCUGGAAAUCGCCACGGUUGACCCCGAAAACGUCCAAGUCAUUUUUCUGUGAUUAUUUUAUUGCAUCUUCAUCGCAUCACAUCUUCGCACCCGUAGUUCCGUUUUAGGCGUGUAAUAUGUCAAAUUGUUUGCCUAGAAGAGUACAUCAUUUCAUUCCAUUGCAUCAUUUGCAUUUGAGCUCAUCUUGAUGCCCGAAAUGUUGUUGGAAGAGGGCUUCAUAAUGUUAGUUUCAGAAUCUUAUCAGCACGAGUUCUUUUGUCAUUUUUGCCACGAUUGAUGUGUGCAUCCUAUGGACUUGGUCCCUAAAUGUGUUUUGAACUAGGCUAUGUAUUCUUUACAGAGGUGCUUACCAUGUAUUUUUGUGAUCAAUGUGGUGACUAGCACAAGCAUGCAAACUAGGCUUCGUGUUAACGCUGAUUUUAGUUCCUGUUCUGCUGUAAAUUUGAUGCCAUGUAAAAAUGUUGCUAUAGAGAAAUCCAUGCAUAAUUUGAGAUACUUCAGUAAGGGUGUUUUGAAAACAUGGUUUUGCUCUAUCCAUCCAUGGUCCUGGUUGCAAUUAUGAAGUAGUCUAGCAUGUCAUUUUCGUGCUCUACUUUUGCUUCAAAAUGUUUCCUGGCAGAUUGUUUACAUGUUAUUCGAUUUGGCCGAGGUUGUUGUAGUUGGUCCGGAUAUGCUAUGAUGUUGUUUCUUGCCAUGUAUAGCUUCUAUGACAUGUCUUCUUGAUGGAUGUAUGCUUAGUUUAUCAUUAGGUGCUCUGUAGUGAGUGCAUCGAGCUCACGAAGGUGCCUUCAUAAUUAUUUCAAUGCCAUGCUUUGUUUGCUGAAAUCUGUUAACGAAACUUGCUAUGUUUACGUGGGUACCAUCAUAUUUUCUAGUCCUUUUUGGCUUAUGGUCAGUAAGGGACUUUUGAUCUAUGCUUUGAGUAGAUUCAUGCCAUGCCUUAGUUUGCUAUUAUAAGUUCCUGUAGCAUGUUGAAAACUUGCUCUGAACAUUGCUUCGUGCUGCUGUUUAUGCCAUGUCCAACCUGAUAAUUUUUUUGCAUUUUCCCCAUGCUUGUUUGAACCUGUUAUGAUGUGAAUUAGCCGUAGCUCAGUGCUCCUAUUUUGUAAAGCAUCUCCUGUAGAUCACUGCCAUAUUCUUUAUUUUUAUGUUGGGGUGCUGUAGCAUAGUUUAUUGUUGCAUGCUAAGUAGCAUCGUGUUGUUAAUCGCAGCUUUGUGCCAUACUUGUCUUGCUUGCCAUUUGCAAACCGUGCAUCCGUUUCCGGUGAUCUUUAUAUCGAUUUCAACCGAAAUCAUCUCAUCUUUCCAGCGGCAUACUUGGUUUGCCAAGUUGAUGCCUUGUUCAUCAUUUUUCCUCCCGAAGCACGCAUAUGCAUUGCAUAUCACAUCUCGCAUAUCAUGUCAUGUUUUGCAUCAUGUUGCUUGUGCAUUGCACCAUGAUUUAUUGUGGUUCCUUGCUUGUGUUCUUGCUUUGGUAGAGCCGGGAGACGAGUACGUGCACGAGGAACCUGUUGAGUACGCUAACGAGGAUCCAGCCUUCGACAACUCUGAGAACCUUGCAGGCAAGAUGAUCAUACCUUCGAUAUCACUUCUAUCUUUGCUUGCUAGUACUCGCUCUAUCGCUAUGUUAGCCCUACCUGCCUUUGUUUACCAUGCCUACCUAUUGCCAUGUUAAACCUCUAACCAACCUGUCCUAGCAACCGUUGUUUGGCUAUGUCACUGCUUUUGCUCAGUCCCUCUUAUAGCAUUGGUAGUUGCAGGUGAAGAUGAAGUUUGUUCCUGGUCGGAACACGGAUAUUCUGGGAUAUCACAAUAUCUCCUGUUUAAAUUAAUGCACCUUAUAUACUUGGUAAAGGGUGGAAGGCUCGGCCUUAUGCCUGGUGACUUGUUCCACUCUUGCCGCCCUAGUUCCGUAUACCGGUGUUAUGUUCCUUGAUUUUGCGUUCCUUACAUGGUUGGGUGAUUUAUGGGACCCCCUUAACAGUUCGCUUUGAAUAAAACUCCUCCAGCAAGGCCCAACCUUGGUUUUACCAUUUGCCACCUAAGCCCUUUCCCUUAGGUUUUCGCGAGCCCAAGGGUCNNNNNNNNNNNNNNNNNNNNNNNNNNNNNNNNNNNNNNNNNNNNNNNNNNNNNNNNNNNNNNNNNNNNNNNNNNNNNNNNNNNNNNNNNNNNNNNNNNNNNNNNNNNNNNNNNNNNNNNNNNNNNNNNNNNNNNNNNNNNNNNNNNNNNNNNNNNNNNNNNNNNNNNNNNNNNNNNNNNNNNNNNNNNNNNNNNNNNNNNNNNNNNNNNNNNNNNNNNNNNNNNNNNNNNNNNNNNNNNNNNNGGAAACUUGAGGGAUGGUUUUACUCGUAGCCUGUCUCAUCCGGUGUUGCCCUGAGAACGAGAUAUGUGCAGCUCCUAUCGGAAUUUGUCGGUGCAUCGGGCGGCUUUGCUGGUCUUGUUUUACCAUUAUCGAAAUGUUUUGCGAACCGGGAUUCCGAGACUGAUCGGUUCUUCCCGGGAGAAGGUCUAUUCCUUCGUUGACCGUGAGAGCUUGUGAUGGGCUGAGUUGGGACACCCCUGCAGGGUAUAUAAUCUUUCGAAAGCCGUGCCCGUGGUUAUGAGGCAGAUGGGAAUUUGUUAAUGUCCGGUUGUAGAUAACUUGACACUUGACUUCAUUAAAAUGCAUCAACCGAGUGUGUAGCCGUGAUGGUCUCUUCUCGGCGGAGUCCGGGAAGUGAACACGGUUUAUGUUAUGCUUGACGUAAGUAGUUUCAGGAUCACUUCUUGAUCGCUUCUAGCUUCUCGACCGACGCGUUGCUUCUCUUCUCGCUCUCACUUGCGUAUGUUAGCCACCAUAUAUGCUUAGUGCUUGCCGCAGCUCCACCAUAUUACACCUUUCCCACCUAUGAACUUAAAUAGUCUCGAUCUCACGGGUGUGAGAUUGCUGAGUCCUCGUGGCUCACAGAUUCUACCAAAACAGAUGCAGGUGCCGAGGAUACCAGCGUAGAUGGCGCAACUGAGCUGAAGUGGGAAUUUGAUGAGGCCCUUGGUCGUUACUAUGUAUCGUUUCCAGAUGAUCAGUAGAGGUGCCCAGUCGGGACGAUCGGGGAUCUGUGUAGCUUUUGGGGUAGUCUUCUUUUAUUUUUGGUUCCGUAGUCGGACCUUGAGUGUAAUCUGGAUGAUGGAUGUUUAUUUAUGUAUUGUGUGAAGUGGCUACUGUAAGCCAACUAUGUAUCUUUUCCCUUAUGUAUUACAUGGGUUAUGCGAAGAUUACCUCACUUGCGACAUUGCUUUCAAUGCGGUUAUGCCUCUAAGUCGUGCUUCGACACGUGGGAGAUAUAGCCGCAUCGAGGGUGUUACGCGCUGUGCGUCUAGGCUACUUCCGCCUUGAUUCUCGAACAAAGUUUUUCGUGUCGGGUUUUGCAGCACUAAGGGCGGCAGUAGGAGCGGUAGUACCGCCCUAAGCGGUAGUACCGCUCUUCCCUAGCGGUAGUACCGCCCUGGGCCCUAGCAGCACGGCAGUACCGCUGGGUUGAGCGGUAGUACCGCCCGAAGCGGUAGUACCGCCCUUCCCUAGCGGUAGUACCGCUCUGUGCGGGGAUGUUCAGUGGGGUAACGGUUGGAUUUUCCCCCUCCUAUAAAAGGGGGUCUUCUUCCCCAUUGAACCUUAUCCUUUGAGCUCGUGUUCUUCCCCCAUUGUUGACCUUCUCCGAGCUUGCUAUCUCUCGAUCCCUCCAUGGAUUCUUGCUAGUUUUGGGGGGAAAAGAGAGAGGAGAUCUAGAUCCACAUUUCCACCAAUCACUUUCUCCUCUAUGUGAGGGGAACCCCUUGGAUCUAGUUCUUGGAGUUCUUGGUGUUCUCCUUCUUGUUCUUCCUCUCAUUUUCCUCCCUAGCAUUAGUUGCUUUGGUGGGAUUUGAGAGAGAAGGACUUGGGCACUCUGUGUGCCCUUGCCAUUGCAUUUGUGCAUCGGUUUGAGUUCUCCACGGUGAUACGUGGAAGUUACAAGUGGAGAAGCUUAUUACUCUUGGGUGCUUGGUGCCCUUGAGCUUGUUCCUCUUGGGUGCUUGGGCGCCCUAGUCGGUUGGUGGUGUUCGGAGCUCAAUCAUUGUGGUGUAAAGCUCCGGGCAAGCGUCGGGGUCUCCAGUUAGGUUGUGGAGAUCGCCCCGAGCAAUUUGACGGGUACCGGUGACCGCCCCCAAGGGUUGUCAAAGUGUACGGGUUCGGGGACCGCCCCCAAGGGUCGCCAUUUGUACGGGUUCGGUGACCGCCCUCAAGGGUCCCUUAGUGGAAUCACGGCAUCUUGCAUUGUGCGAGGGCGUGAGGAGAUUACGAUGGCCCUAGUGGCUUCUUGGGGAGCAUUGUGCCUCUACACCGCUUCAAACGGAGAUUAGCAUCCGCAAGGGUGUGAACUUCGGGAUACAUCGUUGUCUCUGCGUGCCUCGGUUAUCUCUUACCCGAGCCCCUUUACUUAUGCACUUUACUUUGUGAUAGCCAUAUUGUUCUUUGUCAUAUAUCUUGCUAUCACAUAGUUGCUUAUCUUGCUUAGCAUAAGUUGUUGGUGCACAUAGGUGAGCCUAGUCGUUGUAGGUUUUGUGCUUGACAAAUUAACCGCUAGGUUUAUUCCGCAUUUGUUCAAGCCUAAACCGUAAUUAUUUUAAAGCGCCUAUUCACCCCCCCCCUCUAGGCGACAUCCUCGAUCUUUCAAACUUGAUGAGCGCGCUUUCCUAUUUGGGAUCCAUAUUAGAACUGAUGUUGAACUGCUUGGAUGAGUCGCCAGGCACAAAAUCAACCAUCUUAGUGUCAUUUGCCGACUUAAACUUCAACAGGGGGUCAUUUUCUGUAGUUGGCUUCUUCAAAGGCGUCAUAUCCGCCAGGUCAACAUAUCCUUAAAAAUGUUUAACUCCUUAGUAGCACAGGCCGACUCGACAUACGUAGCAUCACCCUCUUCACAAUCUAGAGAAAUCUUUCUAUCACCAUGCACCGUGAUGGUACCCUUGUGACUCGGCAUUUUAAGCUGCAAAUAAAUAUAACAAGGUCGUGCCAUAAAUUUGGCAUAAGCCAGCCGCCCGAACAAAGCAUGAUACGGGAUCUUGAUCUUGACCACCUCAAAGGUCAGUUUCUCAGCUCUGGAGUCAUGAUCGUCUCCAAAGGCCACCUCCAAGGUUAUCUUACCCACUGGAUACGCCGACUUACCAGGCACCACCCCAUGGAAAACAGUAGAAGACGUCUUAAGAUCUUUGUCAGUCAAAUUCAUAUGACGAAAAGUCUCAUAGUAAAGGAUAUUGAUGUUGCUGCCCCCAUCCAUGAGCACCUUUGUAGGCUUAUACCCUCCUAACUAGGGAGCAACUGCCAACGCCAAUUGACCAGGGUUGUCAACCCGAGGAGGGUGAUCCUCCCGGCUCCAUACAAUAGGCUGCCCAGACUAGCUCAAAUAACGAGGUACUGCCGGCUCAACUGAGUUCACCGCCCGCUUAUGGAUUUUCUGAUCUCACUUGCACAGGCUUGUGGUGAAGACAUGAUAUUGACCACUAUUCAGCUGCUUUGGAUUACUUUGAGAACCAGACUGUUGCUGCUGAUUCCCUUGGCCAGAUUGCUGAUUAAAACUACCUUGAUUACCUUGGCCUUGAAAGCCAGAGCUUGAACCGCCACCUCCAAAACCAGGCCCGUGGGAGCCGGAACCUGAACCGCGGUGCGGGCCACGAUUGUUCUGGACAGAUGACUGGUCGGCUUAUCCUGGGUUUCGUGCUUCGGACAAGGCUGAUUCAUCAUGGCCUCAAGGUUGAACUUCGGCCCUCCAAAACGGGGCGCUUGCGUUUUACCCUCACGGCGCUGGUUAUUACUCUGCAUAUUGGUGUUAGCCAUGAAGUCUAACCCGCCUUCUGCCUUACGUUCACCAUUGCCACCUUGACUCGUCGUGCUAUGUUGUCCCUUUGCAUUGCCACUUUUCUUCCCCUUUCCAACCUUCUCCUCAUCAGAUUCAUGGUACUUCAUGCUAUCAGAGUCGUCAUAUUUGAUGAGAGCCGCCAUGAGCUCCCACAUAUCAUUGCAAUUACGCUUAAGCCGCCCCAAUUUCUGCUUAAGGGGAAGAAAACGGCAAUUCUUCUCUAACAUCAGGACUGUUGAACCGGCGUUGAUACUGUCCUAUGAGUGUAUAAUAGCUGAGAUCCGGUGCACCCAAUUGGUUGUUGACUCACCUUCACCUUGGACGCAAGAAUCCAAAUCCAGAAUCAACAUAUGCCACUUGCAUGUGUCUUUCAAAUUUUGAAUAAAUCGCUUUUUCAACUCCGCCCAUGACCCGAUGGAAUUAGCGGGCAGCCCAUUCAACCAAGUACGAGUCGGGCUAUCCAACACCAUGGUGAAAUACUUAGCACAUGCAGCAUCACUGACAUCCAACAUCUCCAUAGCCAUCCCAUACCUCUCAAUCCAAGCCUCUAGGGGCUGAUCCACCGUGUAAUUGGGAACCUUGCGGGGGCCCUGGAAAUCCUUAGGCAAGCGCUUGUUGCGUAGAGCCGACACUAAACACGGCACACCCAAGAUUCUAGAGGUCACUCCUGCCUCGACAGACUCUGUCGGAUAAACCGGAGAUUGCUGUUGAGCCGCCAGCUGAGCUGCCAAUUUCGCCUCACACCGCGCUCUGCCCUGAUCCACCAAAGUCUGAGCCUCAUUACCAGCAUGCGGCGGGUCAGGCCUACGAGGUUGAUUGCGGUGCCACUCACUGCUUGAUAUGGCCUGUUUAUCAAUGUGCAUGCUAUAGCUCCGGCUUGGACGUGGGGUUGAGUGAAUCCGAUCACGACUGUAUGAAUAAGCCGCCUGUUGAGCCACUGCUGUCUGAAGAAGUACUUCGGCUCUCCUUAUUUCUAUCGCUGCUGGCGACUCAUCCUGAACCAGGAGAGCCGCCAAUUGAGUAGCCGCAUCUAUCACGUUAUCCAAAGGAUUAGAAAAAUGGCCUGGGGGCAUCGGAACAUGCUGAGGAGGGGUCAAAUUCAAACAUGGGGGGUCUGUAGCACGUGGCUGAACCGGUGCUCCGGCCGCCGGCGCCUCAACGGCCCGAUCCACACCAGGCGGGUUACUGGUUCCUGCCCCAGGCGUGUUGAAAAGGUUCCUUGCAUCGUAAACCGGGGCAAGUGACUCACAUGCCUUCUGUUAAAGACACCGAUUGAUGCGUCCCGGUCCAAGCUCAAGUGAAAGUUAUCUUCCUGAAGCCGUUCUACCUUCCUCUGCAAGGCGGCUCACUCCAUUGCCAUCCGGGUGUUCUCAGCGUUUAGAUCCUCCUUGGCUUGGGCUACCUUAUCAAGUAACUUUGCAACAUCCACGUUAUGAUGUGUCUGGUUCUCCGGGGUUACCUCUGCCAUCAACAAUGUUGCCAGAGCCUCCAACAAAUCAGAUAAAACUUGAGCCGGCGGGCACACAGGGCCUCCUGCCCAGGCUGCGGUUGCCGUUGUUGACCUGGAGAUCAUUGCUGCUGCAGUUGAAGAAUUCUGCCCUAGUUGUGUACCGGCCAUGAAGAUUGUAACCCGGUUUGGCGGCUCAUAGGGGUCCGGAAUACUGUCACCAUCAGAACAGCCUCCAAGCCUACCAUCUUGAACUUGAUAUAUGGAAUUGGUCUCACCGGUUGAGGACUCAUCACCUGAAUAGACGGUCGUCUCGCCACCGGAUUCAGCUCCUCCUUCCAGAUCCACCCCUUGAGUAAAGCCAACAAAUACAUGCUUCGGGGCGGCUUGAACCUUGGCAGGUUGCGCGCGCUGAGCCGUCUUGAAGAUGUCGGUGCAGGUGUCUGGCUCAGCUUCCGACUCACCAAUCUUGCCAAUGAAGACGUGGAUUCCACCGAAGGGGACCCAGUACCCGUACUCGAUUGAGCCGGCCUCGGGGCCCCAGCUUGCGUCAUUGAUGUAGAGCUUGCCGCGACGACUCUUGGUCAUCCGGCCCAUAGUGUAUCCCUUGAGCAUUGUGAAGUUGCCCUUCAAGAACUCAAAACCACCGUGCGCUGGCCUCACGGUGGGCGCUAACUGUCAUGGAAUUGUCAUGGCAGAUGCCCUAGCAUGAGGACUUAGAUGUGGAGCCAUCGCACGUAGUUAGCCUAAAGGGGUUAAAUGGGACAAGGGAUACAGAGAGUUUUUACCCAGGUUCGGCCCCUCGCAACGAGGUAAAGGCCUACUCCCGCUUUAGGUUGUAUUGCUUUGGUUCCGAUUACCAGGGAGCGAAUACGCUUGACCUAGUUCUCAACUUGUUGUUUCUUGCCCUAACCCGCCGCCGGGUCGCCCCUUUAUACACAGGCUGAUGCCCGGUGGCUUUACAGAGUCCUGGCCGGCUCAUACACAACGUGUCCGGCUCGGUGACAGAACUAAUCUUUCCUUAACAUACAAGUUAAACAUAUGGCGGUUUAUGCCCGUGGGCCUAAAGUCUCCUCCGGGUCUUGGGCCUUCAGUAAGCUUGCUUUAUGAACCGUCAUCUUCAAUAUCUUCUUGGGCCUUCUCAUUAUGAACCGCCGGUGGUAUGACCCGGCUACUCCUGGGCGGGUCAUACCCAAUAGUUAUAUCCCCAACACUGGUUCUAGUUGUGCCCCUAUGGAUGUCACUUUAUUCGGAUCUGUAGGGUACACUUGGAAUUUGAUGAUCUCGUCAGCUAGUUUAAAUGAGGUUGGUUUUGAUCCUUUGUCAAGGAUGACAUCGUCCCUAUUGACCGUGGCCCGGAGUGAUGUCAACUCUUCGGCCGCGAGGGCCUCGGAUAGUGACUCCAGGGCGAGGGAUGUUGUUUUGUUUUCGGCUCUAAGCACUCUGUUGGGGUUGCUUGAGAUGGUGAUCCCCCCGUUCGGGCCCAGCAUCUUAAGCUUCAUGUGGCCAUAAUGCGGGAUUGCGUGGAAUUUUGAGAAAGUGCCACGCCCUAUGAGGGCGUGGUAGCCACUUUGAAAGGGGACGAUAUGAAAGGUCACUUCUUUGGAUUGAUAGUUCUCGGGAGUUCUGAAGACCAUGUCCAAGGUGAUUUUUCCACUGCAUCGUGCUCCUCUGUCGGGUAUUAUUCCUUUAAAGGUGGUGUAGCUCUGCAUGGUGCACGAUUUAUAAUUUGCAUCUUGUCCAGAGUAUCUUUGUAGAUGAGGUUUAGACUGCUCCCUCCGCCCAUCAGCACUUUUCGAAGUCGACAACCAGCGACGAUUAGGUCAAGGACCAAGGCAGCCGCACAUCGUCUCGAGCCGCCCUUCGGUUGGUCAUGUUGUUCGAAGGUGAUUGGUGUGUCUAGCCACGCGCCUGGGGUCGCAACAUGUUGGACGCAACGGAGCUCCCGAUGGGCUCUUUUCUCUGGGUUUUUUAGGUGAAUGUUUUGUAAAUCAUCAGGGUCUCGUCUUCGUCCGAGGAUGCUUCCAGAUGCCUGUGUUCGUGCUUGUUCCCGUGGAGAGCCUCGCCUUCGCUAGCCACCUGUUUCAGCACCCAACAAUCUCGAAGAAUGUGGGUUGGGCUGAUGUUGAGUAGAAAGGAGUGUAUUAGGCAUGGUUUGUCCAAUAGUCCGUCAAGAAAAUUCAAAAAAAAUAGUCCGUCAAGGGUAGUCUUGGAUUGUAUUACAUGUUUUUUUCCUUUUCCGGGGUGGGUCCGCUGGUGCGAGCCGGUGAGAGCAUUCUUGUCGGCUGCUAGAUUGUCAUGCUUCGUCCUCCCGACGUAGAUUGAAUCUUCUUGUUCUUUUUGCGCCAACAAGCAUCCUCUAUGGUGCAAAAUUUUGACACCAGAUCUGAUAGUUCGAAAAAUGUUUGGAUGCAGCGUUGGGAGAGGGCGUUUAGAACGCCUUUGUCUUUGCAGUUAUCCUAGAAAGUUAAUAAUAUAUCGGGAUCACGACAGUCUGGUAUCUUGUUCUUGUCGAACAGGAAUCAGGCCGAGAAUUUCCUGAUCGUUUCAUCAGGUCGCUGUUGUAUGUAGACUAGAUCCCAGAUAUCAGAGGGCCCUGAGUUACUUGGGCAGUACUCGAUAUGGGAGGUGAGUGGGAGAAAGAAAAUUAUUCCCACCGCUCGCGGGCUCGAAACUCUCGAGAAGGAUGUGUUGACGAUGGAUCGGCUGAAUUGAUCUUGAGAUCUGAUUCCUUGGCUUCUUCCGUCUGGUCGUCUUCACGGUCGCUCGCCAGGUAAUACCUUGGUCCCUGGUCCUCCAUAGGGGAAUUCUUGACAGGGGCGAGAGAAAAGGUGGAGGGCUCGGGUCUUGCUUCCCACUCGUCGGGGCCUGACUCUUGAUGGAGGAGGCGCUAUCCAGUGACAGGAGAUUGGGGCGUGGAUGCCACGCCAUGAAAUCUUGGUUGUUAACCGACGAUCCCAUUAUUCCUUCUUUGAUCACACAGCAGAACUCUCAAUGGAAAUAUCAAUGUCGGUACUAAAACCGACAUACCUCGGGUAGGGGGUCCUGAGUUGUGGAUCCCGGAUCUAUGGGUAACAAGAGACGGAGGGGAUAUUAUUUACCCGGGUUCGGGCCCUCUCGAAGAGGUAAUACCCUACAUCAUGCUUUGAUUGUAUUGAUGAUGUAUUGAGUACAAAUUUGAUCUACCUCGAGAUCUUAAGUUGUGUUCUAACCCUAAGGCUAGAUGGUUGUAGUUGUGAUCGUAUUCUACUAAACCCUUCGGAUUAUAUAGACAUUGGGGGUACCUAGGGUUACACAUGGUCAGUUGCCAAUCUAGGGAUACACAUGUCGGCGGCCAACGCAGUCCUUGAGUACACGUCAAGUCUUCGACGAAGUCCACCUUGAUCACGCGGAAGUGUGAGGCCUUCGGAGUCUUUCCUUAUAAGAAAGGUGGGUCGUAAGCUUGGCACAUGGACUGUGGGUCAACUAGGUUGGUACCCCCUAGUGCAGGACACCGUCACCUGCCUCCAAAGUGAAGACAAUGUUGAACACAUUUUGGUGUAGUGCAUCUAUACUCAUGAAGUUUGGCACCGUUGUCUCAGAACACUUCAACUUCUCAUUCCUAGGCCAGUGGAGACGGACACGUUCUUGAAAUGGUGGCUUCGUUAACGAGCUAGCUUUCGGGCGACUGAGAAAAGAGGGUUCGAUAGCUUUGUCAUUUGCGCAGCCUGGUCGUUGUGGAAACAACGGAAUGCUCGAGUCUUCGACACACCUAAGCAACAAAUUGAAGCUAUUGGCUUUGCUAUCAAAAUCCUAGAUGAACUUGAAGAAUGGAAGUUAGCCCUUAUCGGAAUAGUAGGCCCACAACGUUUCGUGAGAUAGUAGGCUAGUUUUUUUUUGCGGGUAGGCUAGUUAGCUUGAUUGGAGCGGGUGUAUACCUACGUCGAUGUUCACAUCCUCGUUAGGUUUCUUGUAAAGUUAUUUUUAUCUUUCAGAAAAAUAUGGUACGCAACUUGCGUAUUCUUGAGAAAAAAUUAUGACGGGAAAAACCUAUCCACAAAAGUGCAUUUUAUUUUCUUCCAAAUCUCUUGUGGCAUUUGGCUGUGCCGCCACCACGUCAGAAAAGGCCACCACACGUGUCGAGUUGGUAAACUCCGUCUAGGCCCUUUUCCUGUUCGCCUAUCCGUCCGAGAUCAGUUGCCUAUCCUCCUCCGCUCCGUUCCGUUUUCCUCCGGCCGCUUGUUGGCCUCCGCAAAUUUGCUACUACCUCGUUAUCCCCCGCGCAAAAAGGAUGGUCGGAUAAUAACGAGGCGAAUUUCGUUCCUUUCUUAUUAAUCGCCCCUGGGUAUCUUCGUCCGCGAAACCCAAAAAAAGAGCGCAUUUAAUAAUUCGAAUCCGUUCACGUCCGCGGUGCGCUUUUCUUUUGGGCGAUGGAAAGGCCGGAGAGGUAAGUCGUGACGCGACGUCCGCGUUUUGUUUGAGUGCCCGUCCCGGUCCCUGUGGCGUCGCUUCAGUGGGCCGCCGCCGUUUAGCCUGGACGGCGUCGUACGUGGCGGCUCCGCCGGCCACACGAGAGCCGUCGGGGUCCUGACGCCGUCCGGACGAGCAGUGGGGGAUAAGGAUUGGGUUUUUUCCCUUUCCUUCUCGCGUCACGCUUCGUGGUGGCGGGGCUUCCGUGGUGGCCCGGGACACGCUUGGGUUGGGUCGAGAGAGGGGGAAUCUGCAGCGGGCGCCAGGGGCCAGGGCGGGGCAGACGUGACCGACGCCGAUGCGACGUGAGUACGGCGGGGCGCUGCAAUUUUUUGGGCAGGGAUUGGCAGCGACGGAAGCGAACGGGAAAGUGUCACGUGGGGUCGGCGCGCGGGUGCCGGGAGACGCGUGGGAGCGCAGCUAGGAUUCACGGAGCGGCGGCGAGGGGGUGUCGUGGACUCUCGUGGCUGCCAGAAGAAAAUCGUAUCCCGAGUUCCUGGCUCCCUGGUCUGGUCUGUGCGAGUUCGUGACAUGACAUGGGUCGCAUGACCAGAGAGAAAGCGGUUGCGGUGGUAUGGGAUGCAUGCCAGCCGCGGUACAAGUGCUCGGCUGGUGGGUGCCCACUUAUGCAUGUCAGCAGAUAAAGAGGGAAUUAAAGACCAACAUGGUUGAAUCAUUCCGUAACAUGGCAUUUGAGAUUUUCUAACGGGUUGAUCCAUGUUAUCGUUGUUGUCAUGACAAUUCGAGAUUUCACGUAACAUUAGUUCUGGAGCAAGUAAUAACAGUGUACUUAGUUAGCCUCCAAAUGUGCAAUUGCUGGAUUUAAUUAGAGUUCGUACGCACAAUGCUCGUAGCUGCCGUACGUACAGUGACAGUGAUUGCAUGUACGCACUGGCAAAUUAAUUGACGAAAGCUGGUGCCUGUUCUUAAUAACUCGGCCCAUCAAACCGAGACUCACUGGACAGAUUAUUUUGUGUCGCACUGUUUCAUGCCGAUGUGACGACCAUAAUUUAUUUUUUUUAUUUUUUGCGAUGAAUGACGACCAUAAUUACCUACGCCACUGCUAGGUGCGAAGAGUACGUCGCUUCCUCCAGUUUGCUUGCAUCAUGCACAUCAAGACACGGUAAAGCCAUCCAUGGAGACGCAGGUACUGCAAUGAUGGGUAACAAAUGUGCAGUACAUGACAUACGAAACCGACACAGCAGCAAGACGCGACCCAUGGGCCCCAGCCGUCAGUGGAGGUGCGUGGGAGGCAAUCCAUGCCCCACCUAUCCAUUGGCAGACCGCUUUACAUAAUUCCAUCGGUACGUUUACUGAAAAGAAAAACUUCAGACACACGAGGAGCGCCAUUAUUCACGAGUGCUAAGAGCCCGGAAAAUUCGUUUACGAUUCCCGUAAACGAUUUUUCAGGACGCCGGGCGCUGCAAGAACAGAUCCCACAUAGCGAUCUUGCGUAGGAUACAAAUUUAAACACACUACUUCGCGCUAAAAACAUCUCGGCGUAGUUCAUCACAUAAGCAUAGCAUAAAUAGCAUAGCCGAGUUCACACGCAUAGCAUAGGGGUUUUUUUAGUACAAAUCAUAAUUAAACAUAACCGAAAUCUAAAAAUGCAUAGCUUAGAUCCACUCAUCGUCGAAGUCCUCGCGAGAGCCGUAGUCGCUGUCGUGGUUGGGGCGGGGCUCAUUGCCGUGAAGAGUGUUGUAGAUCAGCAUGGAGCAGAGGGUGGUCUGCAGCUGGAACUCCUCCAGAAGUGCCAGCACGCGCGCGGCCUCAGUUACAUCUCCUGCUGCGGCGGCCUCCUUCGCGUGGAACCACGCGAGCUCCGCCUCCCUACAGCGCUGCAGCGCCGGAUCGAAGAUGUCGCCGAGAAGACGGAAGUUGGCCCAAGCCGGAGCGCUGACGCUACGGAACUUGGUGUCGCGCUUGCGCGCCGCCUCCCUCUGUCUGGCCGACAUGGGAGGGCGGAGGCCACAGCCGCCUGCCUCGUCAUCAUUUCUACGCUUGCGGGAGACGAAGCCGCCUCGGCAUCCAAAGCCCCCGAGGUCACCGAAACCCCUGCCGUCGCCAUGCCCCGCACCCGUCGUCGCCAUCGCCGCGAAGAUUCACUCAAGCAAACCGCGGCAAAACGCUCUCGGGAGGAGGGGGUCAAUUUGUCGCCGGAGGGGAAGGGUUUGCGGUGGAGAUGGAAAGGGGAAAGGGGACGGAUACUCUAAAUCGGCCGGGCGCCGGCAUAUAUACCGCAUGUGAGGGCGGUUUAUGGGCCUCCCGUAAACUUUUUACUGGCCGAGCCAUUUUUGUGGUAUCUGCUCGGGUCGGAUUUUUGGGUUGUCCCGUAAAUCGGCUGGCAAAAACGUAGUUCACGGGGAUUAAAGGGAACGCUAGAGAUGCUCUUAACUAACUUAACCAACCAUUUAGACACACCAUAGUGGGAGUAAUUUCAGUAGUAACGUCGAGUACAACUCAGCAAAUUUGCUUAUGUGGCAAUGAGUUAAUGAGGAGUGAGGUAGUUUGAGUAACUUAGCUAGGUACUCUAACGUCACAUGUUUCAAUGUAAUAUGAGUCCAUAACCUAAUAAAUGAAGUUUUGCAUGACACCACAACUAUGUGCAACUCCAAUGGAUAGACCCAUUUCGUCCGUCUGCGUCCGUUUGGGUCGGCGCGGACAAAAGUGGAGGCCCAACGCGCCGACCCAAACGCAAAUCGCGUCCGCCUGGCGUCUGCGCCGACCCAUUUCCGGCCCAAAAUUGCGCCUGGAAUGCGUCGGGCGUCUCCUCGGCGCCCGCCGCGUCCCCACAUGUAGGCCACCUAACCGCCAGCGGUCGUCUUAUUUACUCCCUUCGUUUCUUUUUACUCCGCGUAUAAGUUUUGGUCAAAGUCAAACUACAUAAAGUUUGACCAAAUUUAUAUUAAAAAAUAUGAACAUCUACAAUACUUAAACUAUAUAAUAUGAAAAUACAUUUCAUGGUGCAUCUGGAAAUGUUGAUUCAUAUUAUGAAUGUUGAUAUUUUUUAAUAUGAAGUUAGUCAAAUUAUGCAAAAUUUGACUUUGACCAAACCUUAUAUGCAGACUAAAAAGAAACGGAGGGAGUAUGACGACCACCGACAGCGGGCCCACUUGUCAGCUAGUGGAAGCAUCCUUUUUUAAGCACGCGUGCGGCGGGGGCCGGCCUCAUCCACUUCUCCCGUCCACAUCUGGCCCCCCACCACUCCCUUUGCUUCCUCGCCGGCGACAGGAAACCCUAGCACGCCAUGGGCCUCUUCGGCAGCAGCAAUGGCAAGGGCAAGGGCACCAUAUAUAGCCGAGGGAGGGGAGUCGUCGGCGCACCGCCCCGUGACGCCGCCCAUGAGAGGAAUCAAUGGAAAAGCUGACCGGCAGCAGCCUUGCCAUUGAUUCCCCGCGGGAAACCGAGAUGUCGGGAAGACGAGGGGGGCGGUGUCGCUGACGCGGCUGCCAUGCGGCGCUUUCGCGUCAAAAACGAUUCGCUCGGCGUCCCCCAGCGCGCCGGGUUCGGGUUGGGUCCGCCGGCGCCAAUUUCGGCCCGAGCCGGCGAAAAAUGGGCCCCUGAAGGCGCGACUGGGCCGAUUUUUUGGCACCGGCGGCCAAAAAGUCGCCUGAGGAGCCUUGAUGGGAGCGCGGCUGGAGNNNNNNNNNNNNNNNNNNNNNNNNNNNNNNNNNNNNNNNNNNNNNNNNNNNNNNNNNNNNNNNNNNNNNNNNNNNNNNNNNNNNNNNNNNNNNNNNNNNNNNNNNNNNNNNNNNNNNNNNNNNNNNNNNNNNNNNNNNNNNNNNNNNNNNNNNNNNNNNNNNNNNNNNNNNNNNNNNNNNNNNNNNNNNNNNNNNNNNNNNNNNNNNNNNNNNNNNNNNNNNNNNNNNNNNNNNNNNNNNNNNNNNNNNNNNNNNNNNNNNNNNNNNNNNNNNNNNNNNNNNNNNNNNNNNNNNNNNNNNNNNNNNNNNNNNNNNNNNNNNNNNNNNNNNNNNGAUAAAGUGCGUGGGCCGUAUGCAUGCACGGUGAGACCAGCUCUCCACGGUGGGCCAGGAUGGAUGGAUAUCGGCAACGUGCGUCACGCGAUCCAGACGGGUGGACCUGAAAAUAGCAGUACGAAGCAGCAAGAAAGGCAAUAUAACGUCGUGCUCGUACCCAUGACCGGGUUCUUUGGUAUGAAGGUCGUAUACGUAGGCUUGCUAUAUAAAAGAAGUUGUAGCACUCGAUCCAUAAAUUCUGCAAGAAUAUUUUGGGUGCAAAAUACGCACUACCGUUCGAAUUAUGUCUGGGUUGCAGAAAUUCUACAUGAAUCAGACUCAUUUAUCGUCUCGUAUAAAACUUGGAGAUGAAAUUCAUGUGGUGUUUGAUACUACUUGGGUUCCCUUGAUAUUUAAUAUGUGGCUCCAAGUGAGAGAAAAGGACCGGCAUCACACAAAAGAGAGAAAGAAGAGAAAAUGACCUUCUUCAUGGUAAGAGAAGCGAGUCCGGUCCAGAUAUACUCCCUCCGUUUCUAAAUACUUGUCUUUUUAAAGAUUUCAACAAGUGACUACAUACGGUGCAAAAUGAGUGAAUCUACACUUUAAAAUAUGUCUACAUACAUCCGUACGUUGAGUCCAUUUAAAAUAUCUAGAAAGACAAGUAUUUGGGAACGGAGGGAGUAUAUUGGUUGUGUUUGUAGAAAGGAUUUGCUUUUCUCCCACUCUCCCCGUUUCCUCCCCCAUCUCUGUUCACAAUGUCUUCUUCAAGAUUGGUAGUAUAUUCUAUUGAUUGAUUGAUUGAUGAAACGCUAUGUGACUUGGCGGAAGUAGAAGCCUUCCAUAAGCUAGAGUAGAUCGUCAAACUGUAGAUUUCUUCUCAUGCAUGCUCUAUUAAUUUAGAUGUAAAUAAAUAAAACAAAGACAAGGAAAAUCGUAGAAGAAACAAAGAGAGAGAAAAUACCAGAACCAUAUAACUGCACACACGCACCUGCCUGCACGUGAAGGCCGGACGGCUGAGCCAUGGGAUUUUGGCAGAAGAAGGGUGAAACGCCAAAGAUGCCAAACGUUGCUCGAAAGGGACCUCGUCUUUCACUUUUGUUACCACCACGCAAUGAUACCAAUCGUUGUUGGGACGCCAUGUCCUUUGCUUUUGUUUCGUCCUUGAAAGCUCAUCUAGGAAUCGCCCUGAAGUACAGUCUUGCUUUGGAAAUGUCCCUCCUUUAGUUUCCUUUGCCGCUUCACCUCUAGGAUUUGGCGGGGGUUGGGCCGGGGUGGGUGCAGUGCACGCCUAAUAACUUUAGGGUUUAUGGCUUCUGGUGCCUGCUAAAAACAACUUCCUAAGCCGUCGCCCAUUUCUUAAGCAACGUUUCCAGAGCCCAAAAAUGAUUCUACAAUGUAAUGUAGCACACAGCAUCUGAGGAAAUCUACACAGACUAGAGAUGACGCGUUCCUUUUUCUCUCGGCUUGAAAUCAGGCCGCCAGCCAGAUGGGGUUACCCGUCCGUCGGUGGUUCCGUUGGUGAGGAUCCGGUGGAUCAUGGGCGGCCGCUGGAAACGUGGGUCUACGAUCUUGCUUGACGUGUAAGGUUGGCAAUGUACGGAGCCAACGGAAAGGAGUAGCAGCCCAUAGUCCAAACGGAAUGCAUGCAUGCGCCGGGUUUGCAGCUUGCAACGUGCAGCUGCACUUCAGAUCCUUCCUCUCCUCCCCUCGCCUUUCCUUCUUCCUCUCUAAAACCAUCCUUCUCUUUCCCAAUCUGGGAGACGACCUAUAAAAUUAAGCUGGCAUUGUGGCCUUUACUACUGGUAUUCUUUUUGUAAAGAAAUAUAAGAGCGUUUAAAUCACUAAUAGGGAGGGAGUACUAUAUGUGUGUCGUAAACAUCUUUUCUCACUGCCCACCUAGACCUAGUUAUUGUGAAUGAUCUAAUACGGAGCUUUAGACCAUUCCCAAGGAUUUAACCCCUCAAAUCAUCCCAUAUUGAGUAAGAGGGUGCUUGGAUACAAGGGACUAUUUUUAGUCUGACUAAAAAUAGUCUCUUUUAGAGGCUAAAGUUCCAAGCACCCCUGACUAAAGAGAGGCUAGGACUAGUCUUGAGGCUAAAAAUCUUUUAGUCAUGGAAAACCUACUAAAAUAUGUAUUAGCUCUCUCUCUCCUCAUUUAAUUCCUCUCCUUAGUUCUGGAUUGGAGGGUUUGGAGGAUAAUAAAUGCUCAAUAACUAGAUUUUAGUCUCUUUAGUACUUGGAUCCAAGCAUGGGUGAGACUAGCAAGUUUUAGUCCCACUAUUUUUAGUCAUGGGACUAAAACGUAUCCAAGCAUGCUCUAAGAAAAGGACUUGAGCAUAUGAUUUGACUAACUGUGGUCCACGGGGACAGUAUCAUCCGCCGUUUGCUGAGUGCGGGGAGGACCGCGUACUUCAUGAUGGUACAUUUAUUUUCAAAACCAAAAAAGAAAAAUCAACACUACCAGCGAGCGGUACAAUAUAGGAGUAGUGCUAUUUUACUUGGAUGGAGCAGCGGUACGUGUUAGCUCAACAAUACGGGAAUAUUAGAUACAACAUGCGUAGCACCACCCAGCUACUCCCUCCGUUCCAAAUUACUUGUCUUCGAUUUGUCUAAAUACGGAUGUAUCUAGCACUAAAAUGAGUCUAGAUACAUCCGUAUCUAGACAAAUCUAAGACAAGUAAUUCAGAACGGAGGGAGUACGUAGGAUGACGAACCGCUAACAAUAUAAUCCAUCCAGACCUAGGACUAGGAGUAUAGUAGUAGUAUAGUAUAUUCCUCUGGGCUGUGUCCCGCACAUCGUUGGCACCAGAGCCCCAAGGAGGCAAAGGAGGAGGACUGCACUGCGCUGCAAGUUGCGGCCGUCUGGUUUUCAGCGAAACAGAAAUAGGGCGGGAGCGAAGCGGGGCGUUCCGAAAAGAGGUUCGCUCGCAUGCAGAUGCAGAGCAGGGGCGCUCCCAAUGGGGAAUGUGCGCCGGCUCUGCCUACUGUAUGUGUGCACAAAUAUUGCCUCGCACGCAGUUGGGUGGUUGGUUAUUACGGGCGAGUUGGCAUCUAUCUAUACUGGGAUGGGAUGCAGAGGCCGCGCCGGCCGGAAAGCACCGGGCCUAAAAUGCCCCGGUCGCUGUCCCGUGGCCGUGGCGUACAGAUCCAUCCUCCUCCACCACCCCUUCCCAUCUUUAUUUGGGGCCAUUAACCAGUCGCUUCAAAAGUCUAAGCGCCCAACAAAACAUGUACUAGUAGUAUUCAAAGUGUUUACAGUUCCAGGACCACUCCCACUAGCAUCAAAGUGGACCUUUGAACCUGCUCUCCGAUGCCUAGUGUGAUCUGUGAUGCAGCUCCGCUUGGUGGAUAUACCACAUGAACAGAUGGACAGAGGGGAGCAAAGAAGAACUCACUAGCUCCCUAGUGCAAUCACAUGCCGGAUGCAAUUGCCAGUGCAGAUGUAGUAGUAACAAAGAAAAAAAAUGCAGGACAAAAUGUCACAUGCAACUUACGAUAAUUCACAUGCCUGGUGCAGCUGCCAGUGGUGAUGAACAAUAUGUUUGAUCUAACCGCAAUCAUAGGAAGCUUCAGAAUGUAGGAAAGGGCACUGUCACCGCUCAAAGUCUCUUCCGUACUGAUGAGUAGUAUCAUUUUAAAAAUAUAAUCAAGCAGCCUGAAUUUGACGCCCCGGCUGUUAGAUGGUCAGAAUCAGCUGGUGGUUGGCUGCAACCUUCAUCUCCAAAAACUAAAUAAUGGCACAACACUUCGGUUAUUUCGUCCCCCUUAGGACACAGUAACUUUCAAAUCGAUCAACUCCAACAUCACAUUCCACAAAUUCAGAACAGUACCAUACUAACUGAAUGUUACUGUACAAUGAUCAACAGUAACAUGCGCUGCGUGAUUAGUUUAUGGGAGGUGAGAGAGCAGCCUCACUGACUACAAGUCCACAAGAUCUGUCCGAUGGUGCUACAAAAGUAUUUUCUUAACAAAUUUGCUAAUCAUGAAGGGAAUCCUCCCAUCUAAUCAGGCCCCAUCCUCGGGGGAGGGAGAGGAAUAAUGCGGCGUGCAUCACAUUGCUUGUCUGCCUUGGGGAGCAGUAGCUGCCGCUCUCACCAGCUUCCCAACCAAGACAAGAUGGAAAUGGUGGUGCCUAUUUGAUUAAUUCUGUUGCUACUACACUAUCAAUUAUACUUUUGUCUAGCCUUCAUAUAAAUAUGCAGUGGAAAUGUGCCAUUGGAUCAUUGGAGUAGGAUGGUUCAAGCAAGGGUUUAACAAGUGAAGAUGGCUCACUCACAUGGGAGGUGUGUGCGCUUCAGUGGCACAUCACAUGCUUACCGAAAGGGGUUUCCUAGUAGCUGCCUGGAGCAGUGGAGGAUCUUGCCCUUGUGGGUGCAUAAUCUACUCCAAUCUCAGCCUUUUCAGUUUAAUAUUAAGAUGGUUUUUUAGGAUCAUGCGUUUUUGUUGUCAUCAUUAGCGUCGGUGCGCGAGAGCGAACACUGCACUAUCAGAAAGCCACUCCUGCACAAAACCUCGACAGAUUAGGUGGGUUGUCUUGUUAAUAUCAGGAUCUACCAAAAUUAGCUAUGAUUAGGGUUUUUACCUAUGAAAGCGGAACACUUUUAGUUGACCUUUUUUUUAUCCACGGCACAUUGGAGGCAAAAUAGCUAGUAAGUUGACAUUUUCGGUGAGUACAGGGUUACCGUCAGCCUAAGACUGACAUAAUUAUUGUUAAACAUUCACUAAUGGCCUUUCGACGUGAUCUAUAGAGCUGCCUAGUUAUAGCUAUAGCUAGUUUCCUACCUAAGAUUAUCCACCAAGGUACGCCGUUGAGGGAUUAACAAAGUGAGCAACCUAGCUGCCUUGCACCAACUAGCAUGGAUAUACUCCAAAUUCCAUGCAGCCUUUUCACAGAUCCUACAGCUCGAGAUAUACUAAUAUCCACUUGGUGAAUAACUAAUUUUGUUCUUUAAAGCAAAGACAAGAGAUUACAAAAUUACCAGACUGGUUCCUUUCCAUAUUGAUUAGAAGAAAAGCAAGGCGUCAUGUGAAGAGAGCCUCAAGUCACAUGCUACCCUACCCCCAUGCUACUUUACGAGAACAGGUUGUUGAUUCCGGGAGGAACAGGUCAGGUUUAGUUUGCUUCUCCUCAGCCCAUAGGCCAUAACACAAAGGAUCAAUAUUUCUUUUCCAUCCCUGGUUACCUUUUUAACUCUUUCUUUUUUGCUGGGCAAAUAUGGCCAGGUUGGGAAAUCACAUGGAUCGAUACGCUUGAGGCAGAGCUGUAAUCAGCUCACAUGGGGGAAAUUGUUUCCAAUCUACUCCUCUUUGGAUGUUGUUGGGUGUUCCUUUUCAUGCUACUAGAACAAGUUUGAGCACCAAGAUUAGUCUAGAUUAAAUUUACAAUGACAGACUGGUAACUUUUCUGCGAAAAUUACUCGGCAUCUUUCUGAAAUCUGAAUGUACAGUUGGAGAGUAGUUGGCCGACCACACAUAUCCUUUUCUUGGUUUAUUUACAGAAAGAGAUGUAGGAAGGGAGGGUAUAUACUUUUCUUGGGUCACAUCCAAUCCAUCUGUUUCGUAGGGAAAAAAGAGAUAAGAAGGCGACCGAAUUUACAGCUAAAUUAACAUGCAGUUACUGUUGGGUUGGGUGCAUUGUACAGACAGCUAGUGCAAGUGCAAGUGGGUGUGUGGGGUUCUACUUGUAGGAACCAGCUGCUAAAUGCUAGUUAAGCGGCUGCUUUUGCAUCUGGAUUAAGCGUGGGCAUGCUCGACACGAGACUAACAGCCUGUGUAUACAUGCAUAGAUUCCAUUUUGCAGGCCCUACACGACACUCAACGGUAUACUAUGAUCAGUAAUAGAUAAAGAACAAAUGCUGCUCAUGGCCUGUUUCUUACACCGGCUGGCAUGAAAUGAAGGCAGGAGGUGUCUGUCCUCCACACGCUGCAAAUAUGCUUGCCGAGAUCAUGUCAUGUCAUGUGUGGGUUCCAAGCAGUAGCACUCCAUGACUGCACUGGAGUGAACUAAUUCAUGCAAGUGUUGUACUGUAGGACUGAAUUAGAUGACUGGAAUUGGAUCUACUGGCUAGCUAGACAGUAGACACCAAAUGAAUUCUAGCAGUAGGAGGAGUAUAUGAGCAUCUAUCUACAUUUGCGUGGAUGUUUUCUUUCCCCCAACGGAGAGAGGACACAGACGCAUCAUCUCCUGAUCCGUGCAUGAUCCAUCCAAGUUGCCCUGGAGCCAACCAAUAAUUCGUCGCGUCCAAGUACACAUGGAGGCAUGUGGCAUUCAAAACAUUUUAAAAGCCGGACGGUGGCGCUGGUCCCCGGUGCAUUUCUGUCCGGGCCAAACCGAUAGGAGUAGUAGAUAGAGAGAGGGACUCGUACCGGACCAGCGGGUCACACGCCACUGCACACACGCCAAGAAACCUUCUUCGCCUCAUCUGUGAUUGAUUCUGUGGUGAAAAAACGCCAGGAAUACUAUUAUGAUAUCAAAUUGAUAUAUUAUGAAAAUACAUUUUAAAACAGAUCUAGUGAUACUAAUUUAGUGUCAUAAAUGCUGCUAUUUUUUCCAUAAAAUUGGUCAAAGUUUUAAAACUUUGACUUAAGACAAAAGCUAGAAGUACACUUAUUCGCGGACGGAGGGAGUAUAUCGGUACGUAUCAUGAUUGGAGAGGGCUGACCCAGCCAGAGUUAUUCGCCUCGGAUCAUGUGUUGGUUGCGCUUGAUCGAUCGCUCGCUCGCUCGUGUGCGGCGCUGUCGCGUGUGCAUUUCCAGUUCAGGGGCUUGGGCCAACCCAACAGCUUGUAACUGCGUGCUAGUACCAAACAUGCAUGCAUGCCUGCUUGUGUGUUUAUUGUAACGAACACGGUGUUUCCACGCUCUGUUCGUACUGCCUCCGGCCUUCCUUUCGUUUCCCUUUUUAUUUAUGUCCGUGGUGAUUCAUUCAUGUGACGGCGAUUUGUUUAGUCUGCGAGAGAAAGAAAAAUGUGGAGCGUAUCGAUCAGAGGGGAAAGAGUGAGGCGUCACAGACCCCUACCAGAAGGGGAUCCACAUCCACAGGUUGGGGGGACUGAAGUGGUUUGGGUUUGGGUUGGGAGAUGGACAGACGGAUGGUGGCCGUGCAGCUACAGCAGAGAGGGACAUCCUGCUCCGGCUCCGGCUCCGCGCUUGUUGGAUCGGAUCGGAUUGGAUGGGAUGGGAUCGGAACCGGAUGGAGAGCCCGGCAUAGGCCCCAUUAAUCAUCCCUGAAAAAGCCUGUAAAUGGCGGCGGUUGUGUGAUUUUCAUGGGUGCCCGUCCGGCGUCGCUUGUCCGUGCAUGCAUGCGCGCGUGCGUGCCGCACAGUCCAGAUAGCAGAGGCGCGGAAGUGAUCUCAACUGGACAGGUGCACCGCGGGGCGCCACUGGAGCUUGAUCCCAUCGCAUGCGGAACGCGACAAGUGGCGGCCGCUCCCCAUUCGCUCGCUACGUACUCGUCACGUGACCUUUAUCUUCCUGUUUCCUCUCUCUCUCUCUCUCUCUCUCUCUCUCUCUCUUUCUUUCUUUCUUUCGUUCUUUAUUUUCACAAGAGGCUUUCAGCCCCGUGAAACGGAAUUUCAAUCUGUCCACACCAAUGAGAACUACCCAACUUUCAGCCUCACCUCCCUCUCCAACUCCCACUAUCAACAUCCAAAAUGAUCAUGCAAGCUGCUUCUUGGUUCUGAAUCUGCAACUAGUUUCUCGCCUUAGAGUAGGAAGUACGCGUGGAAACCAAACAGAUCCUGAUGUAACUGCAUUUAGGAGGUGGUUCUAGCGGAGCAGGAGCACAAAUCCAUUCAGUAUGUUCAUCUACAUGGCGGCCUUGAGCUUUUCCAUUAUGGUAAAGCACGCACUAAAGACUGCCCGGGCCGGGGCUUGGCUGAACAGAACUGGACCAAACGCAUCAGUUUUUCUUUUUUUUAAAUAAAUCAUUAGCUUUAUUAAUUGCAAAUAACAGUUACAUCGUCCAUAAGAAGAGGUACAAUUUCAUCCAUGGGUUCCUCAAAAUAUUCAUUUGUUACGGAAAUUUUCGCUAAUCUAGCUAGUUCAUGAGCCACCCUAUUUGCCUCUCUAUUACAAUGCUCAAACCUAGUAAGAGAAAAAUCACAAGCCAAAAAAUAGCAAUCAUCAAAAACCGCCGCCGCCGCUCCCGCUGAUCGUCCUCCAUUCUUCAUUGUGUUGAUGACUUCAAUAUUGUCUGAGUUGACAUCUAGGCGAUUGCAUCCCGCCCUCUAUGCAAGCAAUAAUCCAAACCUUAGGGCCAAAACUUCCGCUGUCAGAACAUCUGCACACCAGUCAAACUUUCAGUUUCCGCCGGCAAUAAAUCUUCCUUUAUCAUCUCUGAGAACAGCCCCAGCUGUACCACUAAGCCGAUCAUGACCAAACGCAUCGGUUAUCUACAAGACGCCAAGGCAAGCAGCAGGGCCACGGAAACAUCGCAUUCAUCACCGUGCGACCGCCAUUAGUGCCGCCCAUCCAACACAGUAACCCACAACUGCUUGUCAUGAUCCAAUCAACAACUUUUUUGAGAGAGAGCAAGUUACAGUCCACACCUCUGCCUACCUCUCAGAUCAAGUACGCACACGCUUCCGAAGAUACCGCGGGCCAAUGGCUGCUGCUUCGGUCACUUAUAUUUGAUGAAAAAUUGCAAGGGGCCGUGUGUGGAUUUUUGGACUGAAGUGUUCAAUACAAUGCAGGGACCAAAUAGUCCCCAGUUGCGACGCGAUAAUAAUCUUCCUAAUUUCCCACUGAAAUUGAUCUUUAAAUAAAUUUCACCAGCUUCUACUAGACUUACGACAACAGAAUAUGGACUACAUCAAAUACACAAUCACAUCCUGAACUGUAUCACAGCAUGAAGAGAAAAAAGUGGAAAGUCAUAUAAUACUACAAGGCACGAAAACCACCGGUAUGGAUCAGCACAAGGCCUGAAAGCGUUUUAGAUGAGAAAAUAAAUAUAUGGGUGGCUUCAGACCCUUUCAAAUCAUUGGGAAGG
rnacentral:lncRNA from 1 species